UCAUAAACAAGAAUGUCUCAUAUAUCACACAUAACAAGAAUCAUAAAUAUACGAAAUAAUUAAAUCCAAAUUCCAAUCUUAUACAUUAAAAAUUAAAUUAAAAAAAAAGUAGAAUAUAAAUAUAAAAUACACAAAUCUUGUCACAAUCCUCAGAAACAAGCGUCCAAUACACAGCAACAACAAAGGGCGGCACAACUGCAAAUACAAAUUAAUAUUUAUUUUAAAUAUAUAUAUUCAUAAAUAAUUUAAAAAAAAUAAUUAAUAUAAUCCAAUUAGUUUUAUAUAUAUAUAUAAAAAAAAAAAGAGGAUAAAUAGGGUAAAUAUAAAAAUAUUAAUUACCAUCCUUUCAAGAAGCCGUCGCCUUUUGAUUGUGUGGUAACUGGUGGGGCCUGGCCUUGUUGAUCAUGACCAUCUUUCAUCGGAUAACCGGCCGGCGGCGGCGCCAUGUAACCACCCUGCGGCUCCGCCGGGUAUGCGGUGGCUGGUGGCGGAUAUGCUGCUGCAAAACAAAGAGUUGAUGAUGAUUAAAUAUAAUCCACCUAUAUAUAUUUUUAUGAUAUUAAGAGUUGCAACUUCUUCUAGAAACUAUUACUUACCUUGAUUACUCAUGUUGAUCUAGAGAGAGAGAGAUGUAGAGAGAGAGUAAAAUCAAAGGCAAAAUAUGUAUAUGAUCAGUUGAGAGAUGGAGAGGAAGUGUAUGUAUAUGUAUCUGUGAGUGUGUAUAUAUAGACAGGUGGGGGUGGGGGUGGGGGGUGGGGUACGUAGGUGAAGGAACUAAGGAAAGAAUCCGAUAGGGCGGCGACACCGCGUAUAAAGGCGGAGAUGGGUGGGGGAAAGUCCAAAAGGAAAACAUUUAAUAUUCAAGGGUAUAUUACGAAAACCCCUCAACUUAGGUUAAAUUACGAAAAAUACCCCAACUUAUCCAUAAUUUGCAAAAAUUGCCUCGACGUUUGUUUCUAACUUACACCGACCCCCUUCUGGUGUUAUUUUUCAUGGAAUUUUUUUGUUUUCUUGGAAUAUUUAACAUAAACCAAUUUUAUAAUCAUUUAUGAUACUUUUAAAGUCAAAAAUUACAAUCAGGUGGCCUUUACAUGAAAUCUUUAUUCUUCUUAAAUAAAGCAUUCGCAAUUUUUUCGUAUUAUCACUACCCCUUUAAGAGUAUUUUUUUUGUCUUCGAAAAGUGGCAGAAAGAAAAUGCCACUUCAAUUGGAGUAAGAUCGGUAUUUUUCGGGAAUAUUUCCAGACAUAAAAAAUAUUCAGUAAGAAAAGCACAAUAGAGGGUCAAAGUAAGACAUAAACAAAUAUUAGAGGGUGUUUAGUAAUUACCGAUAGGUUGAGGUGUGUUUUUUAAUUUAUACUAAGUUCAGGGGUGUUUCGUAAUUUACCCAAUAUUUAAUGUGAAGCAUCAUGUUCUUUACGCGUGGAUUUGAUGACCGGAUGUUGGACCAAUUUCUUGACUUUCUCUUAUUAUUUUUCGGUUUUUUUUUUUUUUUUGGGUUUUGGAUAAUAUUUUUUAAUUAUACAAUAGUUUGAAAAUAAAGAAAUUGUAAGUUACGUUAAUCAUAAGUCAUAUAUGACAAAAUCAAUCUAGAACUUAUUGAGAAAUAAUAUAUGAAAAAUAUUGUUUUGUUUGUUCUUUUCAAUUUAUGACUACAUGCCUAUAUUUCAUUUUUUUUUAUCAUUAUUUUGAUAAAUGGCAAGUUGUUUUAGUGUAGUGGUUGGUGCUCGUGAAAUUAUGUGUGAGUUUUUUUUUUUUCUUAAAUUAGUUAUAAGCGUAAUUAGCAAUUAAUCCUCUGUAGUUUGAGUUUUGUGCACAUGAGUCCAUGUAUUUUCAAUAUAAGCAGAUGAUCUUUGCGUAGUUUGAAUUUUGUGUAUAUAAUUCUUUUGUACUUUUUAUUAAACAGUUGUAAAUAGUCAUGUUCAUUAUGAUGAAAUUUUUGAAAAUAUAAGGGGUUAUUUGUUUAUAUUAAAAGUACAAAAAGUCAUGUUCACAAAAUUUAAAUUACAGGAGAUAAGUGUUAUUUACCCUAGUUUUAAUAAAUAACUAUGGAUAUUUUUAAUGUGGUUUAGGGGAUACAUUCUAUGAAAAUCACUCGAUAUGUAAUCAUACAUUUAUAUUUAAAAAAAAAUUAUAUGACGCCACCUUAUGGAAAUCCGAGUUAUUUUUAUGCAAACGCCAGGCAUUAUUCGAACAUAACGAAUACCAUUAAAAAUAUUAAAUUACCUUUGGUAAUCUAAAAAAAUUAUUUAGGGUGCAUUGUCCAUGAUUUAUUGUGUAUUGAUGAGACAAAGUGUAAUUAAAUUUUUUUAAGGGUGCAAAGUGUUAAAAUGUAAUAUUUCAAGGAUGCAAGGUGGGAUUAUAUCAAACCCUCUCAUAAAAUAUCUAAGAUAUUUAAGGGAGUUACUUAAAAUAAUGAAAAUAUCUAAAUUCAUGUGAAACAUUAAUCAUUUAUUUCCGAAAAAUAAAAAAUAAAUAAAUAAUUGUGUAUUUUCUAAAAUUGGUGGAGUGGGUGCCUCUCGUAAUGGGCCCUUGUUAGGGAGAAUGGUAACAUGCGAAAUAAUUCCCAACCACUCCCAUAAUAUAUAAAAUAAUCAUUAUUUAUUUAUUUAUUUUGUUUUAUUUUAAUUAUUUUUGUGUGGAAUUAAUUGAGAAUAUUUUCAUGCAUGCAACACAAAUGAACAAAUGAGGUAUUACUAAUUUACUAUUCCUUAACGCUACUCAAAUAAUGACAUUCAAUGUUCGCUUUAUUUAUUUUUUUAUGUAUUUGCUAACUUUAUUCAAACACUAAUUAUGACAUUCGUUAUUCCACUUCAUUUUGCUUUUACUAAGUUUAAACUUUAGACAUAUUAAUAAAUAUAAUAUAAACAACAUUUUUUAUUUUGUUAGAAAAAUCUCAAAAAAUAAGAUUAUAUAGUUGUUUUUCAAAGAGAAAAUGUAAAAUUGGACAAUUAGGUGGUCCAAUGCACAAUUCUCCAAUAAACUAUUAUAGGAACUCAAUUAUUUUGUCUUUUUUCGAUUGUCAACUAUAAAAUGUUGGAUUAAUUAAAUAUAAAAAAAUUCAUCGAACCUGUAUCUGUUGCCCACAAAGAUCAACUCUCAUUGAAGUUGAAAUUUCACACAUACGUAGAGCUGUCAGUAUUCGAUCUCAGGACAUUGCACCAACUUAUCACAUCGGAACGAGUUGAGCUAUACACCAGUUGAGCUAUACACAGACGAACAACAUAUUUGAUUAGUUGUUUCAUGAGUAAAAAGAGAUCCUUUUUUUAUUAUUAUUUUGAGGAGGAAAAGAGGUCAUUUUUUUGGGUCGGCAAUCAUUUUAUAAUUGAUAUUCAUUACGUCCAAGCAAUGAUAAUAUAGUAUCUUCAAUAAUAUUAAAUAAAAAUUGGUCAAUUGAAAAUGACUUGAGAAAUUCAUACGUGCCCAAAAUGUAGCACGCAACCACUAGUGAGUACACACGUACGUUUACAAGAACAAGAUAAACAAUAUGAAGAAUUCACUAAUUAUAUUUGCAUUUAAUUAAUUAAAUGAUUAGUAUUUGUGAUGCAAUCAAGAUUACAUUAAAUAUAAAUGUGGGAUUGGGUUCUUCACUAAACUCAUACUUGAUUUAAUUGAGCUAAUUCGGGCCGAAGUAUAUGGAUUUGGGCUUUCAUCGGCCCAAGUUGCUUAAGCAAGAUUUAUGCCCAUAAUAAUUAUUAUAUUUUGGGCCCAUCAAUUUAAAAGAAGGGUUCCCAAGACAAAUAAUUUUUAUGUCGAGUGAAUUUUUUUAAUUUUUAAUUUUUAUCAUAAUAAUUCAAAGAAUAGUUCAAUUUGAGAUUCAAGAAUUUAAAAUUCAUUGUUGAAGAUAGGUCCCAAAUUUGAAUCUCAAAUUCUUCAAUUUAAUGAUUUUCUUUAAAAAAAAAUUAUAUCCAUACAUAUAAUUUCUACUUCUCGCGACAUAAUAAAUCAAAAUUGGAUUAGCAUUAGAAGAAUCAUCAUGUAAAUGAAUCCGGCUCGUCAACCCUGAUGAAUCGAAUCGAAAGUUUGAGCUCAAGUCCACCUUUAAUAGUUCUAACUAAUUUUUAAAUUUAUUUAUUUAUUAUUAUAAACAUAGAUAAUACAUAAAACUUCGAGUUGAUGUGAUUUCUCUAGAAAAAAAAAAAAAAAAAAACCUUCCCUUUUGCUCCUCAAAGUAAAAUCAGUGGCCAAAUAGAACAAAAUACUCAUUGUUGCAACAUGCAUUUCAAUUCAAUUUAGAGAUGUAUGUAACAAAUUCAAAUACGUAUUAUCUUAUAAAUUUAACGAACUGUUAAUUUGAAGAUGAAUGUGACAAAUAACCAUAGUACGUUGAAAUAUGUCCAAAAUCACAUGCAACACACACUUAUUUUCCUUUUUUAUGAAUAGUCCAACAUAACCAUCAAACAUAUUAUGAAACACACAAGUUGUUCCAAAUGAUUUUAUAAAUUAAAUCAGCCCCACCAUGUACAUCUUUUAUUAAUAACUAUUUUUUUUUUUUUUUUUUUUUUAUUUAUCCCACCUGUCUACACCUUGUUUAAUUAUUAAAAAUAAUUCAAUAAAUUUAAAUUUUCGAGUUUAUCCAAUACUUCAAUCCAACUCAAAAUUGUGUGAUAAGAACAAAACAUCAAAUUAAAACUUUAUAUUAAAAUGUGACAAUGUGAACUGUAUCUCAGCAGCCAUUUAAGGAGGCACAACAACAAAACUAUAUAAUAAAAUAAAAUAAAAUAAAUGUUGGAAUUGCAAUGUGUCACGUUUAACAAACCUCUAGGAUAUGUCUCAAUCAAGUUAUAUAUUAUUUUUAUUGAAUGUUGAAAUAUUGCCUCUUUUAGAUUUUAAUAAUUAAUAAAUAAUAAAUAAACAGCCGGAACUAUAUGAAUUAAUUAAAUCCUUUUACAUUAUAAUUAUAAGAUGGGGUCAAUUUUCUAUCUAACUUUACAUGGUUGGUAAUGUGCCUAAUCACUCAAUUCCCAUCCCAAAUACGAGAAAAAAUGGCAUUAGCGAUCAUAGUUUAUUUUGUUGUCACUUAAUUCUUUUGUACUGUUUUUGUGAAGAUGCGACAAUUACUUUUUAUUCUCACUAAUUAGCAUUAGUAAUACCCAAUUAGUAACAAGUAUAACGACAAUAACUUCUUGUCUGCGCGAUAUGAAAAUUCAAAAUUGAAGUUGAAAUAGAUUACAAGCCAAAAAAAAUAAAAAAAAUUCAUGAUUUGUUAUCAAUAACUUUUGCAAACUCCACUUAAAUUAGCUUAAUUCAGUAGUAUUAUUAAUUAGCUUAAUAUAAUAUUAUGGAUUAGAAGUGUUAUCCUUCAAACCAUAUGUUAAUUUUAUUGAGUAAAUUGCAAAUACUACCCCUGUGUUAUCUCGAAAUAGCAAAAACCCCCCUGUGAUAAAUAAACUAGCAACAACCCCCCUGUGAAAUUUAGUCAAAGGCAGAAUCCCCCCUAGCUGAUUUUUUAGACUUGAAAUGACAAAAUUGUCCCUCAAAAUGUAUUUAUAUAUAUAUACAUAUUAUAUGUAUAUUUAUUCUUUUUAAUUUAUUUGUUUAGAAAUUAAAAAAAAAAUAGUAAACAACUAAAUUGAUUAUUUUUUAAAUAAAAUAAUUAAAAUAUUUAUAAAAUAUAAGAAUUUAUUAAUUGCAAGACUCCAGGGGUAUUUGUGUCUUUUUAUAUCAAGUCAACCCUCAAAUAGUUCCAUAGGGGGGUUUUUGCUAUUUAAAUAAUUUCACAGGGGGGUUUUUGCUAGUUUAUUUAUCACAGGGGGGUUUUUGCUAUUUCGAGAUUACACAGGGGUAGUUUUUGCAGUUUACUCUAAUUUUAUUACAUAAAAUGUUUUAUCAUAGACGAAUAAAAUAUAAUACUAAAAUUUAACAGUUUUAAUACAAGAUCUGUUCAUACAUACCGAACAUCACACUAGCUAAUUAAUUAAGCGUAAAUUACAAUCACCCCGUGAGGUAUGAUUAAAUUACGAAAAAUCCCUCAUGUUUGGAUAAUUACAACUACCCAUCGAUUAUGAAUCUUCUUACACGUCCACCCUCACUGUGUCAAAUUCAACACAAUCUUCUAGAUUCCGUCGAAUAUUCUCUAGUUUGUACUCGUUUUAUGCAAAAAUGCAAUUUCUAAUGCACCACAAUCUGAUAUUUACAAGCCAAACAUCUUAUGAUCAUCUUGCUUCAAAAUGAGGAGCCAGAAUGGGAUAAAAUGGGUACAAAAUUGAGAAUAUUCCAUAUAAUUUAGAAGAUUCCAUUAAAUUUGACACCGCAAGGAAAAAACGUGGACGAAAAUUCAUAGUUAAGGAAAUAGUUGUAAUUACCAAACAUAACUAUUUUUUUUCGUAAUUUGAUCAUAUUUCAUAAGUGAUUGUAAUUUACCCAUUAGUUAAUUAGUCAGUAUAUAAUUAAUCGAAUCUCAUUUAAUCUAAACUUAUCCGAUAUAGGUAAACAUAGGACUCAUAAUUCAACUACUGGACAAACACAACAAACUGCUGCCUGAGUGUGUGUGUCUAUAUAUAUAUAUAUAUAUAUAUAUAUAUAUAUAUAUAUAUAUAUAUAUAUAUAUAUAUAUAUAUAUAUAUAUAUAUAUAUAUAAAAGUAUGUCAAGAACUGCCUAAAUUUCAGCCUAACCCCUACCCCACCAUAGCCAAAAUUUGCAGACAUAAAAACCAAUUUAAUUAAAUUCACAGAAUUAAUUAAACAAAACACCAUAAUAGAGAAAUGAAGAUGAAGAAGAAGAUAAUAAUCCUUAUCCCAUAUCCAGCACAAGGCCACGUCACUCCCAUGCUGAAGCUCGCCUCCCUCCUCUCCAACCUUGGCUUCCGUCCCGUCGUCGUCACGCCGGAGUUCAUCCACCGCCGCAUCUCGCCGCAGAUCAAUCCCAGAGACGGGAUUCUCUGCGUUCCCAUCUCCGACGGAUUGGACCCCGCCGAGCCUCGGGAUUUCUUCUCCAUCCAGCGGGCCAUGGAGGAAACAAUGCCUUCGAAUCUCGAAGAUAUUGUUCGAGGGAUGAUCCACGGAGGCGGUGGGGUUGCUUGUUUGGUGGUCGAUUUGCUGGCGUCGUGGGCCGUCGGCGUCGCACGGCAGUGCGGCGUGGAGGCGGUGGGGUUCUGGCCGGCCAUGCACGCAACUUACCGCCUCGUUUCCGCCAUUCCCGACUUGAUCCGUACUGGGGUUAUCUCCGAAAAUGGUAAGACAAACUUUCAUUAUUUAUUACAGAACAUAUACGGUAGAACAUCGAUAAAUUAAUAAGCUCGCUUAAAUAAUAUUUUUUAUAAUACUUUUUCCCGGUCCCAACUUGGUAAAACAUAGUAAAUUAUUGGCUCGGUAAUUUAAUAUUUCGCUUAAUUAAUUUGAAUUUAGUUAGUCCCGACUGCAUAAAUUUAAGGGUAAAUUACAAAAACCCCCCUGAGGUAUGGUGAAAUUACAAAAACCCCCCUGAGGUAUGGUGAAAUUACAAAAACCCCCCUCUUGUUUGGAUAAUUACAUCUACCCCUCAACUAUGAUUUUUUCUUACAUCUCCACCCUUAUUGUGCCAAAUUCAAUAUAAUCAUCUAGAUUCCGUGGAAUGUGCUCUAGUUUGUAUUCGUUUUGUGUAAAAAUACAGUUUCCGAUGCACUACAAACUGAUAUACACAAGCUAAAACUCACAUAUUAUGAUCAUCUUACUUCAUAAUGUAGAGUUUGAAUGGUAUAAAACGGGUACAAAGUGAUAAUAUUUCAUAUAAUCUCGAAGAUUCCACUAAAUUUGAAGAGCUGAGGGGUGAUUGUAAUUAUACAAACAAGAGGGGUGUUUUUGUAAUUUGACCAUACCUCAGGGGUGUUUGUAAUUUACCCAAAAUUUAAAGAGAUUUAACUGUUAAUAUACCAAAAUUAUCAAGUGAUGUACUAUCAAAUUAUCAUAAUGUAUUAACUAUUAAGUAUUUUAAAUCUACUCUAAAUGUAUUAAAGUAAUUAUUAAAUAAAUUUGUUAGAAAAUAAACACCCAAUAUGCAUAUCUCUAAGAAUUAAUUGCACAUGUUUAUGCUUGACAUGCAUGCUUAUAUAUAUGAAUGUAAUUAUAUAACUAACAUAAUUUUAUUUACUACAUCCAUAAACCCAAUUUUUCUUUUUCUUUUUUUUUUUUUGAAAAGAUCCAUAAACUUAUUAGGUCACACCUAAUUGUAGUACAUACAAAAAAGGAAAAAAAAAUGAUAAUUGCUACCAAAAUUACAUGCGAAAAUAUGCGUUCAGACACAUUAUUAUUUGGUCUAUGAGAUGCUACAUUUGGUGUAACGUAACACACCAGGUUGUUUUGAACUGUAAAUCUGUAUAAUAAAUAUCCACUAAGCACACAUAUACAUUAGUGUAUGUGUUAUAAUGUGUAAAUCAAUGAUUCAAGAAUACUGAAUUUAUUUCAACGAGUGUAGCAUCUAUAAAACCCUAUUACUUUUGCAUGCGUUUAAGCGAUUGACUAAAAAAUAUACCUUACUAUAUUUAGAAUCUUUGAUAUCUUUAAAUAAGAAAAUUUAAAAUCUAAUUAAUAAUUCAUAUACAUAUAUAAAUGUGUUGUAUAGAUAUGUGUAUAAUUAAUAAUUGGACGGUCAACUCAACUUAUGUGAUGCAAAAUGUUACUCGUAAGCACUAAGAUCUUUAGAUUCCACAAAAUCUUUAAUUUCUUAAACAAUUAAAAUGUGUGGAUUGCUUAUUUAAUUAAUGAAUUAAUCAGGUUAAUUAAUUAUUGAUUGCUAUUUUUGGAGAAAAAAAAACUGAUUAGGGUUCAUCGGUUGCAGGUUGUCCGACAAAUCCGAAAUCUCGUAUAUGCUUGUCUCCCAACGAGCCUACUUUAGCUGCAAAUGAACUCCCAUGGCUUAUCGGCUCUUCUUCGGCUAGGGUUUCGAGAUUCAAGUUUUGGACCCGAACCCUAGAAAGAGCUAAAACCCUCCGAUACCUCCUAACGAACACCUUCCCGAACGAGCUCGACUCGAAAACUCAAAAAACAAACAUGUUUCCCCGAGUUCUCAAAAUGGGGCCUCUAAUCAUGCAGGCCAAUACAAUAAGCACCGCUAGCUUUUGGGAAGAGGACAAGAACUGUGUGGACUGGCUGGACGAGCAGGAGGCGGGGUCCGUUUUGUACGUGUCGUUCGGGAGUUGGGUUAGUCCUAUAGGCGAGGGGAAGGUGGAGGGUUUGGCACUGACGCUCGAGGCUCUGGGGAGGCCGUUCGUCUGGGUGUUAGGGCAUGCGUGGCGUCGCGGGCUACCAUACGGGUACGCUGACCGGGUGGCGGCCCACGGGAGGAUAGUCCCGUGGGCCCCACAGGUCGAGGUGCUGAAGCACCCCGCGGUGGGGUGCUACCUCACGCACUGUGGGUGGAAUUCGACCGUGGAGGCCGUGCAGUGUAGGAAACCUUUGUUGUGCUACCCAAUCGCGGGCGAUCAGUUCUUGAACUGCGCGUAUAUUGUCGACGCGUGGAGGAUUGGAGUGAAGAUUGAAGGGUUUGGAGUUGAGGAAGUUGAGAAUGGGAUUAGGGAAGUUGUGGAGGAUGAAAAAAUGAGGUGGAGAAUUGAGAGAUUAAAUGAGAGGUUGUUUGGCAAGGAAGAGAGUUCAAAAGCAAUGGCUAAUUUAUCUUUGUUCAUGGAAGAUCUUGGUGAAUAAAAUUACUAUCUAAAUUGUCAUUUUUGUUAUAUUAUUUUGAUUGGAUGUUUAUUAAUGUAAUUUUGUGAUUGUAUUAUAGUGUGAUUAGUUGAAUAUUUAGUUACAUGUUGGUUAAUUUGCUCACCAUUUUUGUGCGCGUGUGUGGUGGUGGGGGUAUAGUUUAACAUUUUAAGAAUUAAGACUAUAGUCCACCGUCCACCCGCCAAACACGACCUUAAUUGAAGAUACUACAAACUCUACAAGUUACAAGAUUUUUUUAAUAUUAUUUUAUAUGUAUAAUAAUAAUAAUAAUUAGUAAUCAAUUCAAUGAAAAAAAUUGUGGCCGCCCCUCUUGUAGAUUCGUAUGGGUAUCCAUCUAGAAGAUUUUGUUCUCCUUUAAGCAAUCUAAUAUAUUCAAGUUGGAUUCGAAAGCCAACUCAAAAUACUACAGUUUCUGUGCUUUGAACUUUGGCGAAAUCAAACUGGAAAAUGGUCUAUCGUGGUACGAUUCUACGUCACGUUUUGCAAUUUUUCGCGUGCGCACUACCUGCAUUACAAAAAGUCAUUAGAAUGUUGGGAUUGGUCCCAACGAAAGCCCACCGACGAAGCUCAAGUCAGCUUUGUAUGAUAUAAGAAUUCAAGAGACUGGUCAGGAGUUAUGAAUUGUAAACACCUUGAUUGAGGUUUUUGGGUAUUUAUAUGGAGACAUAUAUUCUCAUGGGCCUAAGCCAAUUAAUAUGGCCCGACUAGUUCUUGUAUUAUUUAUUAUCUUUAGUCAAUUUGGACUUAAAUUUACGUGCCUCUAUGAGCUUAUCGAUGUAGGCCUUUGGGCGUGGGACAAUACGUUUGUAUAUAUGAAACACAAACGAUUCCUACACUAUAAUAUUGAAAUAAGUACGACACAUUUCAAUUAUUAAAAAAUAAAAAUAAAAUUUAUGAAAUCAUCCCCCACCUAUCUACCAAAUUAUUACAUGUGAAAACGAAUCCAUUUCUCAUGUAGCAGUAGUAGCAAUUAGUAUGACCCUCUACUAAUUAAAAAAUAAUAAUUGACACGUAUAUUAUUAUUAUUGUAAAGCAGCUCAAUUUAGAAACACGCUUUCUGAAGAAGUUGUUUGUUUACCAAAAGCGCGUCCGAUUGGAUUGCUUGUCGACAUAAACAAACGAAUGACGUCAUCCAAAAACCCAUUCUUCAAACAAAAUCCCUUCACUUGUCUCCUUUUCCCUUCGCUGCUCUAAUCUCUGCUCUUUCUUUUUUUUUAAUAAAUUCGUAAUUUCAUUGCCACUGUUUAUAGGUAUGCCCUUCUCUAUCAAUCUUGUUUAUUUUUUUUAUUUUUAAUUUUGUUUUUGUGGGUUAUGAUUGUUUAAUUGUUUAUCAAAAUAUGCUAAUUUAUGUCAUUUUAUUUUUGUUUGGUUUCUUUACUUGGAAUCAAAGUCCACUCCUUUUGUUGCUUCCCAGCUCAAUUUUGUAUUGGGCUAUCACUAAUUCUUCACUUCAAGAUUUUUUUUAUCUGGGAUUUAGAUUAAUUUUUUUUUUUUUUUUUUGUUUUUUUGGUCAAAUUAAAAGAUUCCCCCUUUUUCGGGUUUGAUUUUGUCUCGAAAGCAUGAUGAAUAAUUAUGUAUGUAUGGUGAAUUGUGAUUUUAUGGCUAAUUUGUUUCUGAUUAAUUAGUGUCUUUUUUUUUUUUUUUUUUUUUUUCUUGAUGUAUGUACUAGGUUGUUUGGGAAGAUUAAGGUGAAGUGAGAUAAGAGUACUAUGAAUGAAUAUUACGGAUACGGUAAUACAAGUGCGAGCUCGAGCUCGAGUUUGAAUAGUAGUUCACACGAUACAGAGGAUGAUCAUACGAUUGCCGCCAUGUUAGCCGAAGACGAGAAAUCAAGAUACGACGGCAAACUCGGCAAGAGGCUUUCUCAUUUGGACUCCAUCCCGGUUCGUAUUAUCAUUCUUCACCCAUGAAUGGAAGUUUCUCUUUUUUCGGUUUAUUUAUUUAUUUAUUAGUUUGAGCGAUACAUUCUUGAUUUAUGCCUCGUCUGGUUGGGGCGAUUAGCCAUGAUUAAUUAAAUAAUUGAACUCUGUCGGGAUGUUUGGUAGACCCAAUAAUUUUCCUGGUCGACCCGGAAAUGUUAUUUUAUCGGCCUAUCUUACCUUUUAGAGAGAUUAUUUAUUAGGUUUUCGUUAGAUUAUUUGAUCUUAUCUUAGAAACCAAACGAGGGAAAAAUGUUUGCUUAUGCAUUGAAUUGUUUCUUGAGAUUAAUAUUCGUGUUUAGUGAUUAAAAUUGAAAAGAACUCGUGGGAAUAAUUAUUUUUUUAGUCUCUUACGAUUUCGAUUAUGUACACCGACAAAGUUCAUCGUAUUUGCAGCAUACUCCCCGAGUCAUUAGUGCUAUACCCGACCCAAAUGAUGCCACCUUAGACCACAACACACUAGCUCAAAGGUUCUAUUUUUAUUCGUAAAAUGCCAUAUGUAUUAUUAUUAUUCGUGGUUGGUUAUGGUUAUAUAUAUAUAUAUAUAUAUAUAUAUAUAUAUAUAUAUAUAUAUAUAUAUAUAUAUAUAUAUAUAUAUAUAUAUAUAUAUAUAUAUAUAUAUAUAUAUAUAUAUAUAUAUAUAUGUACAUGUUAUUCAUACGAGUAGGCUAUUAUCGCAGGAUGACGACAUAUGGCUUAGCUGAAAUGCAAAUGGAGGGAGAUGGAAAUUGCCAGGUUCGUUUUUCAAUUACUGUCUCGACUCUUCUAAAUUUGUUAACUUGAUUGAGCUUCUUGUUGUAUAAUAAAAUGUUUAAACGAAAGGGUAUUUUAGUAAUUUCCUAUUUUAUUCGACUUGCUUAUGUUGGAUUUUAUCUCUAAUUGGCUGCUAUUUUACAGUUUCGAGCCCUUGCGGACCAAUUAUUUCAAAAUUCAGAUCACCACAAGUAUGUAAGAAAGCACGUCGUUAAACAGGUGCAGUUCGGUUUAUGUGUGUAUAUAUAUAUAUAUAUAUAUAUAUACACACGGACAAAGUAACUUUGUGUUUAAUCGUGUUUUGCGAAUUAACCGCCUUAAAUUAGUUUAUUUAUAUAUAUAGUAUCUUGUGCAUACAUUCGUGACACAAUCUUAUUCUUGAAACUUUUUAAUACGCGGACUUAUUUUUUGGUAAUUUUAAACAUUAAUUUUCAUAUGUGAAGUAUUAAAUGAAGGGCAAAUUACGGCCAUCCCCUGAAGUAAGGUCAAAUUACGAAAAACCCCCUCAUGUUUGGAUAAUUACAACCACCCCCCUCAACUAUGUAUUGUCUUACACGUCCACCCUUACGGUUUUAAAUUUACCUAUUGAAGGAGGGGGGGUUUCGUAAGACAAUAUAUAGUUGAAGGGGGGUGGUUGUAAUUAUCCAAACAUAAGGGGUAUUUUCGUAAUUUGACCUUACCUCAGGGGAUGUCCUGGAUCUAACAUUAAAAUUACAUUAUGCAUCUUUUCGGAAAUUGUCGUUUAUUUUUCUUAAAUCAUUUUCUUGUUUUUCAGCUUAAACGCCAUAGGCAUCUAUAUGAAAGUUACGUACCUAUGAAGUACCGAAGCUAUGUAAAGAAGAUGAAAAGGUCGAGAUGUGGAUUUUAUUAAUUCUUUUUUCCCGGUAUUAUAGGAUUACAAUCGUGUUUGUCUUAACAUUAUUUAAUUAUUAAAUUUAGGUUGGGUGAAUGGGGAGAUCACGUCACUCUACAAGCAGCUGCCGACCUAGUAAGUUGUAUUUCAUUCAUUGAUUACUUAAUGGUCUUAAGGCCUCGUUUGGCUGCUAACAUAAGCCAUCGUUAAUUAAGUUACAGUUAAACCUCUAUAAAUUAAUACAGUCGGGACGAUAAAAAUUCUAUUAAUAACAGCGAAUUAUUAAAUUAUUGAGUUAAUAAUUUAACACAUUCUCACCGAGUCGGGACCGAAAGAAACUAUUAUUUAAGCGAGGUUAUUAAUUUAUCAAGUAUUAAUUUAUCGAGGUUUUACUGUAUUAGGCAUUAUUUGUCGUUAAUUUAUUCAAAUGUUUUCUAUCUUCGUAUAUUGGUUUUAUGUUUAUAAUAUUUAAUAAUAUUUCAUUUCUUGGACAUUAUGUAGUUUGAAGCAAAAAUAUGUCUCGUCACCUCUUUCCGGGACAACUCGUAUAUUGAGAUUCUUCCGAAGGACAGAAGUCCGGUCCGAGGUACUCUAAUCGUCUUGCUUUACAUUCGAUAAUAAGAUUUCGUUUUCUUGAUUUUUUUUUUCUUUUUUUAAUUUAAAUUCCGUUUUUUUCUUGAAGAAUUGUGGCUGAGCUUUUGGAGUGAAGUUCACUAUAAUUCCUUGUAUCAAGCCGGAGGUAAACAAAUGCUCGUUUUAUUACAAUAUAUCACGCACAUAAUAUUUCGAAACGGUGGCUAAUAUACGUAAAUUGUUUUGUUCGAUUUUCGCCAGAGGUUCCUACAAGAAAACACAGGAAGAAGCAUUGGCUUUUCUAAAAAGUUCGGAAACUCGUUUUUUUUUUUUUUAAAUAUUCAGCGGAGUUUAUAUCUAUAUAUAUGUAUGUACCUUGUAACUAUAUACCACACAUAGUACAUCUUCAUUUCUUCUGUUUGUUGUCUGUCUGAAAUCUGCAUAUUAUAUGCUAAAUUAUACUGUACUUGUGAGAUAUGUAUGUAUAUAUACACUGAGCAAAUUUGUAGUAAUUUUUAUUUAUUAUUUUAAUUUAUAUUCCCUUUUUAUUUAUUUACUUAUUAUUAUUAUUUUAUUUAUUUUUAUUGUUGUCUCUGUCAAUCAAAGAACAAAGGCCUUUUUGGAUAGGGAAGAACAACUAAUGUGGUCCUAAAUUAAAUAAGUAUCACAUUUUGGAUAUAUUAAAAAAUAAAACAAAUAAAUAUUUGUCAUUUCACAUUUGCGUAAAUAAAAAAGUUUAAUAUUUAGUUAUGAUUUUUUGUCUUAUUUGACACCAUAUGAGACACGAGAUGUUUUCAUGUGUCUUUGGUGACUUGACUUGUCUUUUCAUUAUUUAUUAAUUUAUUUAAUUAUUCUCACUUGUUGUUAUAUUUAAAUUCUGUAUUAUCAAUCAACCGACAUCUAUUGGUAAAUUAUGAUUACAUCCCUAAGGUUUAAUGUAAUUACAAACAAAUUUCGUCUUACAGUUAAAUCUCUAUAAAUUAAUACAGUUGGGACCAUCAAAAUUUCAUUAAUUUAGCGAAAUAUUAACUUAUCGAUAAAUUAAUAAUUAUUAAUUUAUACAUUAAUUAAUAACUUAUUAAUUUAUGAAAUUACUUUUAUUAUUAUUUUCAAUAAAUACAGUUUUUUUAAAUUUUUUACGUGUAUAUUAUUCAUUGUACCAUUAGUUCAAUGCACUGUAGAGCCCAUUUUACAUACGGAAGCUCUUAAAGCAGCAAUGGUAUAGAACGAUUUUAUGUUGAGCUAUGAGAAAACUAUACCGAAAGUUCUAUCCAUUUUAAGAAAAGUGAGGGACGAGAUUGAUGGUAAUGUGAACUUCAACAAAAAACAAGCGACAAUUAAAUUUUAUUGUAUUAAGCCUUCAUAGAUUUAUAAAAUAUGUAUUGUACCAUGUAAUUUAAAAAAUAUUUUUAUACAUUAUUAAUUUAUAUAUUAUAUGGGGCUUCUUAAAAUUUUCGAAUGUGUAUUAUCUUAUAAAUUUAGCGAAUUAUUAAUUUAGCACGUUGUCCCCGAGUCGGGACCGGAAAAAUUUAUUACUUAAGCGAGGUUAUUAAUUUAUCGGGUAUUAAUGUAUUUAAGAAAUUAUAAUUACUUCUUAUGUUCUUACACUGUAACGGAGUUUUUAAAAUUCUAAGGAAAUCCAUAUUUACUUCUAAAAAGUAAUAUUUUUUUGUAAAUUUAUAAAAUAAACGCUUAAAUUAAUGAUUUUUAUUAAGUAAUACUUUUUUUUUGGCCGAAAAGAUAAAUCUUUAUUGCAUUAUAACCGAAAGGGUCUCGAUAAAAACUUUGUGGUCUCGUUAUUAAACGAAUCAAUUAAAUAUUUAUACAUUAUUACGUCGUAUUUCUUUAAUUGCGUGUAUGCUGAAUUAUCUCCGAAUUAUACUAAGAAUUUCAACGUAACGCACUAAAAAUUGGACAAUAAUUUAAAAUACGUACUUAAUUAGAAAUUUUAAACUUUGUGAUUAAGUCAAUAAAUAGUAAAUUUAUUUCAAAUAUUUAGUUGCUUUGGUCGUUUUAUCAAUUUAAUAAAAAUUAGACCAAAUCUCUAUCGUUAGGUAAUUGGAUUAGAUUAGCAUUAAAAAGAAAUGGAUUAGGUAGUAAAUUUUGAAUUCGUGACAAAUAUUUAAAGUAAACUUCCUAAUGAUUAAAAAAACUGGAAUCAAAUUAUUUAUUAUUCAGUUGCAUGUAUUAAAUUAAUUUGGUACUAAUUGAUUAAUUAAUUAUUUAAUUAGUUAAAUAUAUGGUUGAAUAUUUUAUAUCUAGUUUUAAAAAUCAAAUAAUAUUAAUAAUAUUUUAUUAACUUCCUCUUCGUAUAACUCAUUUUGUAGUUAGUGACUAAAAAGAACAAGGCCAAACAAUUUUAUUCAUAAAAUACUAUGAAAUCGGAUUUGAUUAUUCUUAAAUUAGGAAAGUAAUUGAGAAAUUAUAUUUAGUACCAAAUUUUGAUAAUUAUAAUUUAACACUAGAUAAUGUAAGGAACCUAUCAUCUUGCUAAUUAACCAAUUAAAUAAUUAGUGGAUAAUUAACAUAAUCCAAUACGAUCCAACUUAAUUAAAUCCAUGUAACCCAAUAUUACUACCUUAUAAUAAAUCCAACUUAGUAAAUCCAAUAUUACUACCUUAUAGUAUUUAGAGAUUGUUCGGUUACAUGAAUUGAAUAAGAUCAUAUUAAUUUAUAAACUUAUUAUUUUUUUUUUAUCUUCAAACUUAUGGACUCUCAAUGUUUACUAUAAAUAUGGAAAAAAUAUUACAAAUUAAACAAAAAAGUUGUUUAAUUUCUAAAUUCUAAAUUAUAAUUUAAGUCCUUGUGUUAAUGUCAGUUGUUCCUGUCAAACUUCGUUAAGGAAAUAAUAGUAGGAGUUAGUAAAAUAAUUCAUUACAAAAAAUCAAAUUAUUUCAGGUCCACGAUAAAAAAAUGAAGUCCACCAUUACAAUGAAAUUAAUAAUUUACCUUAUCAUAUGUGAUCAAUUUUGUAGGUAUUUAUAUAUCACGAACGUAUAUAUGUCCAAUAAAACUUUUAUAAAUUAAUACAGCCGAAACUCACAAAAGUCUAUUAAUUCAUCAAAAUAUUGAUUUAGUACAUUUUUACAGAGUCGAGAUCCGAAUAAAUUAUUACUUGAGUAGGGUUAUUAGUUUAUCGAGUUUCUAAUGUAUGAAUAUGCUUAAAUCAAAAUUGAUAAAUUAUGUGGGGGGUGCAACAUUUACAACACCACUAACAUGGAUCAAAAAAGUCAAUGUUAAUUCUUCCGUAUUACGUCUGCCAGUUAAUAAAUAAAUAAUAAAAAAAAAUUAGAAAAAGCCAAACAAAUUAAUUAAUUAAUAAGUACUAAUCUAAUCUAAUCUCUCUCUCUUAUCUUUCUCUCACACACACAAAAACACACACACAGUGUUUUCUAUCUCUAAUCUCACACACUUACACAUUCCGGGAAGCAAUCCACCCUAUUUUCUCUCAUCAUAUACAAUUUAUAUACACACAGAUUCCCUCUUCAUUCCGCCCUCCCCUCCCCCUUCUCUCUCUCUCUUCUUUCUCUCUCUAACUCUUCAAACGCACAAAUAUUCCCUUACUCUCUGAACUCUCUGUGUGUGUAACAGUGGGUGGUUCAAAACCCUAUUUAGAAAGAGGAGGGGUGGGUGGGUGGGUGGGUUGAUUGGUUGGGGUUGGGGAAAUUCAUCUCGCUGUAAUUGCAUUUUUCUGCGGUUGUUUUCGUAAUUAUGGAGAGAUCUGAUGGAAAUGAUUUCAAUGAAUUUCUCGACCCAUCCAGCAGCUCUGUUUCAGGUUCGCAGCUCGAAAUCCAAGCUUAAUCAAUUUACGCUGCUGAUUUUUGUUUCGUUUAUUUUUUAUUUUUAAUUUCUAUUUGCGAUCUCUGCUUAAGAUUCAUGAUUUUUUUUGUUUGGUUUUUGUUCAAUAAAUUGGGGCGGUGCGCUAGUUUGAUUUAUUGUGAGGAUGAUGUUCUGCCACGGUUACCUUAUGUAGGUUUGAAUUGAGGUUAUUUAUUUAUUUUUUAAUUUUUUUGGGGGAUUUAUUGAUGCAGAUAGCGUGCUGUUUGAUGCGUCUCAGUAUACCUUUUUCGGGAAAGGUAUGGUGGAUGAAGUAGAACUGGGCGGUUUGGAAGAUGAAGACGAGGGUGUACCCGUAAAUGCAGGCAGAUUUAGUGGGGAAGAUGAGUUAAAUGAGUAUCAUUUGUUUGACAAAGAUGAGGUAAACUAUUGAAGUGAAGUGUCGUAAUUUAUAUACAUGUAGAGCAUUUCUAUGUAUGUGAGGUGUAAAGUCGGGUUUUCAGAUUCCAGCCUUUUUGAAAACUAUUCGGAUGUGGAAUGGGUGUUGACUAAUCGUUGCAUGGGUAUCAUUCGGUUGAUAAAUAUGAGCUGACAACAGUAUAGAAUUAUCCCAAUUGAUUCAUUUAGGGAGUUCAGAAAUUUAAUCGCGCAGUUGCUUCGUAACAUAUUUUCGCUUCUAAACCAAUAUAACUUGUGAAAUUUUCGUUAUGAGUGAGCUGACAUGAUUUUUCAAACAGGAGCAUAAUGUUGUAUGUUGUUUCUUCAUAGACAGAAGUUGCAUUAUUGAAGUUCUGAAGAUGCACUCAAUCUAAUUUGUAGUUAUUUCACACAGUGGAGAAAUUGCUUGCUUUUAAUUACAGCCUGUGCAUUGUUCUAUAAUAAUAAACAAAAAUGAAUGAAUUUGUAGUUGUUUGUUAGGUUAAUUUUCAUCUAAUAAAUAUGAGCAUGGAGUUCUUUGCUAUUGACUGCUAUUCUUCUGUUCUUAUUUUCAGGGGUCAGGAUUAGGAUCGUUAUCUGAUAUAGAUGAUCUAGCUACUACAUUUGCAAAGGUGAGUUGCAUCUAACCUCGUUUCCAAUUUGUAUUUUUUAUUUUGCUAAAAUGAAGCAAAAUGAAAGCUACUUAAACAAAAUGAGAGCCUGCCUUGGAGCUCCAGGGCACUAGUCUGUCCGAUUUUCCGUUAGUUUAGUCAUUAUCACUUUAUUGCUGGUGUCUUUCUUUCAGUUAUUUUCAUCGAUUUGUUUUCUGCAGUUGAACAAAGUCGUUACUGGACCCAGACAUCCUGGAGUUAUUGGUGAUCGAGGAUCUGGAUCUUUCUCUAGAGAAAGUGAGUUCUUAAGAUUUUCCUAAUUGUGGAUCAUAAUUUUUUUUUUAAAUUUAUUUUAUGUGCUCUCUUGCUAUUUAUGUUUAAAGUCAUUGUAAGUCCUUUUGUUUUUCAUUAUAGAGAGUUUAAAAACCGGUUUGAUUGUGAAUUGUAUCAUUUGCCAAAAACCAAAGCCCUUGGCACCUCACUUGUCGUUCGGUUUACUAAAAGUCUUAAGUUAUUUCCUGCCCUAUGACCUCUGCAGUGUAUUCAUGAUAUAAGGGAAGUUCAAUGAGGACCAUGAUCCUUCUUUCCCAUGAGGAGAAUGUGGUUUAAAUGUUUUAUAUAUAAUGGGAAUUUUUUUUCUCUUGCGGGUUUUAGAACAAUAUGGCUUUUACCCAAGAAUCACUGCCGUCUUGAAGCAAACACAUAGAUGUCCACGUGUGUAUUUCUUCUGUUACUGAGACCUCGUCCCAUUUGCAGCGUAUGCACUAGUAUUAGCUACAAAAAUAUUUCGUUUCUCAAAGUGAAACACUGUAUGCAAAACCUCAAUUUGUACCCCUAUUUUCGGAAUGCACUUGCAACUGCUCAUGUGUGCAGUUUAAUGAAAUGAUAGUGAUUGUGCUCUGAAUGAAUUUCAACUGUCAUAAGGUGCUCAAUAUCCUUGUUAUCCGUGAUAUCCAACAAGUUAAAUAUAAAUACUCAAAGGCACUAUGCCCAUGUGUUUUAUUUGCAAACAGAUUUUCAUUUCCAUUUGCUUCAGUUGCGUACUGUUUCACUUGGAGUGUUCUAGAAAGAACCUAAAUAUCUUAAUGUAGAUGUUUAGAAGGUGAAAGACUGAAGGUGGUAACUUGAGGUGGCAAAGCAUUAGAUAUUAUCUUGUCGUGAAAUUCGAUUUACAAUCACCUUUGCAAGCCUUAGUAACAUGCAUUUCACUGUUCAUUCACUUGAUUGCAUUCUAUUUUAAUGGCCAUCAAAUCCCAUAAUAUUUUAUAUGGUAAUCUUCAAGUUCAUGGCGUUUAGAAAUUUAAACUGGAAUGCUUUACCUGUGUGCCAUAUGCUUUGAUUUUCAGAUAAUUUUCAACUCAUUUUCCUCUUUGUCCUUUUCCUUUAUGAUUUACUUGGUGGCACUAUGAUUAACAUGAAUUCAAUUCAGGUUCAUCGGCUACAGAAUGGGCACGAGAGGCAGAUUGUCCUGAUUGGCAUGAGCACCACAUGUCUGAUUCGGAAUGCUAUGAGGAAAAUAAGAGAUGGUCAUCACAGCCCCAUCUCUCUCAAAUGUAUCUUCAAGAAUCAAAACCGUUAUACAGAACAUCAUCGUACCCUGAGCAGCAACCGCAGCUACAACACUUCAAUAGUGAGCCUAUUUUAGUGCCAAAGUCAUCUUUCACUUCCUUUCCUCCACCAGGUUCCCAACAAGCUUCACCGAAUAAUUCUCAUCAUCUUAAUUUGUCAACCCUUUCUGGUGGACCCCAGUCGCCUUUCUCUGCACCAAAUAACCCUUCGUUAACUAACUCUACUCUCAAUUUGUCUGGCUUGCCUCGUGGGUACCAUUACAAUACAAACAUGUCACGUCUAACCUCGCCUAAUAUCUCUCACCACAAUCGACUUCAAAAUCAAUGGAGCAGCCAUGCUGGUGUUCUCCAUGGGGAUCAUACUCUUCUCUUGAACAAUGUAUUGCAGCACCAGUAUCAAAAUGGGUUAUUGCCAUCGCAGCAGCUGCUGUCGCAACAACAACAGAGAGGGCACAUUUCAUUUAACCCGUCAUUAGCCCAUUUUUCAGCAAUGCAAUCUCAGAUAUUUAAUACCUUUCCUUCACCUUCACAUUUCAAUAAAUAUGGAUUAACCGAUAAGAGAGAACCGAAACCUAAAUCAGCGCAGAAAGGUAGACACUCUGUGCGGUUUUCCAACCAAAGUUCCGAUGCUAGCAGCCAGAGGAGCGACAGUAAUCUGCCGCAAUUCAGAUCAAAGUACAUGACUGCUGAAGAAAUCGAGAGUAUUCUGAAAAUGCAGCAUGCUUCAAACCACGGCAAUGACCCUUACGUGGACGAUUAUUACCACCAAGCCAGUCUUGCUAAGAAGUCUGCUGAAACAAGGUCAAGGUAUCGGUUUUGCCCAUCCCACCAGAAGGAACAAUCUUCCCGAUCGCGUAACAGUACUGAAUCGCAGCCCCAUCUCCAUGUGGAUUCUCUUGGAAGGGUUUGUUUUUCCUCGAUACGUAGGCCCCACACACUUCUUGAAGUUAAUCCUCCUCCAUCCGCUUGUGGAGAUGGAAACUCUGAUCCGAAGUCAUCUGAGAGGCCUUUGGAAAAGGAACCAAUGCUUGCAGCAAGGAUAACAGUGGAAGAUGGGCUUUGUCUUCUUCUCGAUGUGGAUGACAUUGAUCGCCUCUUACAGUUCACUCAACCCCAAGACGGUGGAAGCCAGCUCAGACGCAAACGUCAUCUUCUCUUAGAAGGCUUAGCCGCUUCUCUACAGCUGGUGGACCCCCUCGGCAAAAGUGGAAACUCUGUCGGGCUGUCACCGAAGGACGAUAUAGUCUUUUUACGUAUAGUUUCCCUUUCCAAAGGCCGGAAACUGAUCUCGAAGUUUCUUCAGCUUCUUCUACCUGGCAGCGAGCUAACUCGGAUAGUUUGCAUGGCUAUAUUUCGCCAUUUAAGGUUUCUGUUUGGGGGCCUACCUUCCGACCCAGAAGCAGCAACCACCAUUAACAGCCUUGCUAAAACGGUCUCUCUAUGUGUUAGUGGAAUGGAUCUCAAUUCGCUCAGUGCUUGUCUUGCCGCUGUGGUGUGUUCCUCCGAACAACCGCCGCUUCGUCCGGUGGGUAGCCCCGCCGGAGAUGGUGCCUCGGUCAUCUUAAAAUCCGUUCUGGAAAGAGCAACUGUCCUAUUGAGAGAUCCUCCGUUUGGCAGCAACUUCAGCAUUCCUAAUCCUGCUCUUUGGCAGGCUUCGUUUGAUGCAUUUUUCGGUCUUUUGACAAAGUACUGCGUGAGCAAAUAUGAUAGUAUAGUGCAGUCUAUAAUUGCUCAGAAUGCACCGAAUGCAGAGUCGAUUGAUUCGGAGGCGGCUAGAGCUGUGAGUAGGGAAAUGCCAGUUGAGCUUCUACGUGCUAGUCUGCCACACACUGACGAGAGCCAGAAGAAAUUGUUGCUGAAUUUUGCUCAAAGAUCGAUGCCUGUUACUGGAUUUAAUGCUCAUGGUGGAAGUAGUGGACAAAUAAAUCCCGAGUCUGUACGAGGCUGAAAAAAAAAGGUUGAUCCGUAGAAGCUUUAUUGUAUGUCACAGCACAAAGAUUGAAGCACAGACACCGAGGUGUGUAUCUUUAGGGCGGAAUUUUAACGCCGACUAAGGUUUCCUUCUCUCUCUUUCCACCAGUUCUCUCAUCCCUUUUCGUUGUUUGUGGAAGGGUUUGUUUUUAUUUUAACUGUCUUUAUGUUAUUACUAUGUCGGAAGCUCUUAUAUGUUUUUUUUUUUAAUAUCAUGAGAGCUUUUAUUUUAUUUUAUUUCGAUGUAAACGCUCGGGGUUGAACGUUUUUAACUGUAAGGGGGUGGAAAAAUGUACAGGUAAGCCGUUGAGAAUGCUGACGUUUUUUUAUGGUGUUUACGCUCUCGAAUUUGGCUUACUGUGUUUAGUGUCUGUAGAAAAAAAGUCGAAAACUUGUUCGUCUAUAGAGAGGAUUAUUUUGUUUAGGUUUUGUUGGAAACGGGUUUUGAAGACGAACCCUAUGCUCUUGUUCGUCUUUUCAGCUGCGGUUUUCGUUGUAGCAUUUAGUGUUCCUAAGUGUAUUUUUUUAGUCCUGCAGAUUUUGGAGCUGUGUUUCACUGUGACUGGUUUCUUGCAAUUUUUUGGUCUUUGUUCUGUUAUUAUGUUGAGCUCUGUUUUCUUUUUUAAUUAUUUUUAGUAGCUAUGGAUCAACUUUAUUUAUUAAUUUAUUUUAUUUAAAUUCAAGAGUUAAUAAAUAAUAGGGUAAAUUACAACCACCACUGAGGUAUGGUCAAAUUACAAAAACCCUCCUCAUGUUUGGGUAAUUAUAACUACCCCCUUCAACUAUAAUUUUUUUUAAAUGUCCAUCCUUGCUGUUUCAAUUUAGUGGAAUCUUCGAGAUUAUAUGGAAUAUUAUCACUUUUGUACCUAUGUUAUUCCAUUCGAACUCCACAUUUUCAACCAAGAUGAUUAUAAUAUGUGUUUUUUGGCUUGUAUAUAUAUGAUUGUGGUGCAUCAGAAACUGUAUUUUUAUACAAAAUGAGUACAAACUUGAGCACAUUCCACGAAAUCUAGAUUAUAUUGAAUUUGAUUCCUUAUAAGGAGGGAGGUGUAAGAAAAAAUCAUAGUUGGAGUAGAUGUAAUUAUCCAAAUAAGAGGAUUUUUUUUAAAUAAAUUAACUGUAUCUCAGCGGUUGUCGUAAUUUACCCUAAAUAACAUAACAAUGAAUGAUGACAAUUAACCUGUUUUUGUACAACAUUGAAGAUUAUUAAUUUCUAAAUGAAACUAUAAAUAAGCAUGCAAGAGCAUCCACUUUAAUUAAUAAUUUUUAAAUGAAAUUAUUAAUUAAUAUAUUUGGUUUACUAAUUAUUAUUUUAAAAGAGUAAAAUGUAUACCAUAGAAAAAAAAGAUUUGAACAAAAAAAAUGGAAGGAACCGUCUGCGUUGACUGACAGCCUUACGAAGGCAAUGAAAUGUUUGACUUUUUAUAAAAAACAACGAUUAAUAACAAAUAAAAGAUAAAAUUAAAUAAAUAAUAAUUAGUAAACCAAAAUUGAAAUAAAGUAAUGUGAGAAUAAGCCGACAAGGGAAGUUGCACGUUUCCACGUUAUGUCAUCUUCAAGCAAAUAAACAUACAUAUUUAUUUAUUUAGUAGGCUAAGUCAACCUUUUCUAUUAUUACGUCACAAUUAUUAGUAUUAAAACAAAUUAAUAUAUUUAUAAUAAUCUCAUGGUAUUUAAGAUAUUGAUUUACAUGAAAAAACACACAUUUUCAUUUCAGUAUGUGUAGAUGCUUAUGGUCAAAUAUCUUAGUUUGACGACUUCGACUAAUCUCUCAAUAAAAUUCUAAAUUUCCAAAAUAUCCAAUUGGCAAAUUUUAAUUUCUAAAUUCUAUAUUACUAUGUAUUAUAAAUUAAAUAUCUGAUUUCGAUUUGAAAAUUUCCAAUUAUGGACAUUUUUUCAUCACUCCAAUUCCGGCAAUUUUUUGAUUUCUGAUUUUCUUUAAUCUUUUUGUAACGAGGCUGAAAUUAGUUUUUCACUUCCAAAAAAACGCAAAUUUUUUUUUAUCCCAAAAAUUCUAAUUUCGAUUAACCCGAUUUCCACCUCUAAUAUGUAACACGUAAAACAUCAAUUCAUGUCCCUUCCAAAUCGAAAAUCCGAAUUUAAAAAAAAAAAAAAAAAAUCCUAGAGAGAGAAGAGAAAAAUCCAAAAAGAAAGUGCAUUGAAUUUGGAGAUUUACAAUAUUAGUUAAUAGUUAGACCUUUUCCAACUCUCUCUCUCUCACACACACUAAAAACACACAGUGAAGAAGCAAGAAAGAAGAAUGCAUGGCAAUAUUUGCGUGUUAAGAUUAGUAAUUUCAUGUUAUAAUCUCCUAAUUUCAUGCCUUUCAUUAAUCCUCCCACUUUUCUUCCUUCACAAUUCUCAACACACACACACACACACACAUAUAAAUAUAUAUAUAUGUAUUCUUAAAUCUUUCACAAUUCACACUCUUUCCCCUUCACACCUUCUCCACAAUUUACAUUGGUCAACAUAUAUAUUUAUUUAGAGAGAGAAACAAAGAGAGAGAGAGAGAGAGAGAGAGAAAGAGAGAGAAUCCGUUUUAUUACAGGCGUUUGACAAUAUAAGUGUUGAAUAUUAAUUAAUUAAUAUUAAUUCUUGUCUGUCUUUUGGUCUUCAUUAUAUAUAUCCACCACCAGAACUGCAGGUACUCCUCACCAUUUGUUCUUCUUCUUUAUUGGGUAAUAACUUCUCUCUCUCUCUCUCUCUCUCUCUCUCUCUCUCUCUCUCUCUCUUCAUAUAUAAUAAUAUAAUAUUUUCCUGCCUUUUCUUAUGACCAUUUCAUGCAAAUCUCGACACAAGUAAAUUUUUUUCUUUUGAUUCAUCAAUUGACAAAUUUCUUAAUCAGCUGUGAUCUGGGUUUUUGUUUUGUACGAUGAUUUCUAGAACAAUUUAUUAAAAAAAAAUUAUUUUGUUUUGGUUGGAUCUUCUGUUCUUAGUGGUUUUCUUGAUCAUCAGUUUAUUUUGUAUAUGUAUAUAAUUAGUAUUUUUUGAUUUAUUACAAAACUGCUGAAUUUGCGAAAUUCGAUUCUGUUUUUAUUAUUACAUGUAUCUUCUGUGCUGUCAAUCAUGAAUUACUUUAAUUUAUUAUAGAAAUAUUUGAUUAAUCGAUUUUACUUUCAAUUUUUUUCUUUUUCGGGAUGAAUUCGAAUCGGAUUAUAGGACAAUAUUUAUAGAAUAUAUAUUUUUUAAUUUAAUUUAAUUUAUUUAUUUACAGUGAGGAGAAUACUGAUUGAUUAAUUAAUCACACCAAGAAACUUGCUACAAAUUAGUCCAUUUUUUCGUUCAAGAAACGGUAAGGUCUCGUUUGGUUGGUCCGAUACAUCGAUGAUUAAUUAAUUAAAACAAUUGAAUUUUUAUUCGAUGUUUGGUACGGUUCGAUUACAGGGUUAUAUAUAUGGAUUACAUGGAGACGAAGAGGCGGAGCAAUUUGACGAAGAAAAUCGUAUUAGCAGCUGCACUUAGUGCACUCUUAAUUUUCAUGAUUAAGAGGUCACCUUCUACUUAUGUUUCUACCAAGGUAUAUAUAUAUAUAUAUAUUAUGUUCUUCGUUUUUUCGUCUUCACAUUGUGUAAUAAAAUAUAUGUCGAUUUCUAUUAGUAGCCAAGGCAAGAACAAAAAAAAAGAGAAAAAAACGAGACCCCUCGAUGCAUUUUUCUUGAAAAAAAAAGAAAAUAAGAAACAUUUUAAUCAAUUUUAAUUUUUACGCGUGUCAAGUUUUCCGAGCACGAGGAAGGGGUAACACACGUCUUAGUGACGGGAGGCGCAGGCUACAUCGGUUCUCAUGCAGUUCUUCGACUUCUUAAAGACAAAUAUCGUGUUACUAUCGUGGUACGUCAUUUUUUUGUUACACAUAUAUAUAAAUACAUACAUAUGUAAAAAACAAUUUAUUUUUUCGUAUACUGUUAAACCUCUAUAAAUUAAUACAACCAGGACUAGCAGAAUUAUAUUAAUUUAGUGAAAAUUAAAUUAUCGAACUAAUAACUUAGUAGGCUUUUACCGAAUUGGGACCGGAAUAAACUAUUAUUUAAGCGAGGUUAUUAAUUUAUCGUAUUCAGAAUUUUUGCAAUUGCGUAUUUAUCGACAGGACAAUCUUUCACGAGGGAAUAUGGGAGCGGUUAAAAUCUUGCAAGAAAAUUUUCCAGAGGCAGGAAGACUUCAGUUUAUAUAUGCUGAUUUAGGAGAUGCUGCAUCUGUAUCCUUUUUUAUUAAUUUAAUUUAAUUUUAUUAUUAUUUUUUUUUUAUAAAAAAAAAAAGAAAAACAGAGGAUUUUUUCUUAGCCUUUUAAUUUAAGGUAAACAAAAUAUUUUCGGAGAACGCAUUUGAUGCCGUUAUGCAUUUCGCCGCUGUUGCGUACGUUGGCGAAAGCACAGCUGAACCUCUAAGGUACGCUUACUCUGUCAUUUCGGAUCAAGAAUUUUGAAACGAGGAAAAUUAAAUUGCAAUUUAUUUGCGAAAUAAAUAAAUUAUUUUAUCGAGCAUCUUCGUUGAUUCAAUUAAUAAAUAUAUAUGCAGGUAUUAUCACAACAUUACUUCAAACACGUUGAUAAUCGUGAAGGCAAUGGCGGCGCAUGGCGUAAAAACUUUGAUAUAUUCGAGCACUUGCGCCACUUACGGAGAACCGAAAACAAUGCCGAUCGUAGAAAACACUACACAAGUAAUCCUUUUUUUUUUUGAAGCAAAUUUAGGGAAUAUGAAAUAUAUAUAAUUUUGAUAUAUUUACUUAUUUAUUAAUUAAUUUAAUUUAAUUUAUUUUGCAAAGUUUAGCUACCAAUAAAUCCAUAUGGCAAAGCCAAGAAAAUGGCAGAGGAUAUCAUAAUUGACUACUCAAAGACAUCAAACAUGGCUGUCAUGAUUUUAAGGUUACUAAAUUUCACCUUUUUUUAUUUUUUUUUAAAUUAAACACACACACACAUCCACAUGUAUGUGUGCGUUAAAUAACCGUGUCUAAAUAUAUAAUUAAAAUAAUUAAAAUUUAGGUACUUCAACGUGAUUGGAUCGGAUCCCGAUGGACGGUUAGGAGAAGCUCCACGGCCCGAGCUUCGGGAACAAGGACGAAUAUCCGGUGCUUGUUUUGAUGCAGCCAGAGGAAUUAUUCCUGGACUAAAGGUACAUUUUUUUUUCUAUUGUGUUAUUAUUAUUUAAUGAAAUUAUUUACAUAAAAGAUUCAUGAUUUCAAAUAUAUAUACAUUAGAAUCUCGAUAAAUUAAUAACAUCGAUUAAAUAAUAGUUUCUCCCGGUCCCGACUCGGUGAAAACGUGUUAAAUUAUUAUUAAUUGGAUGAUUUAAUAAUUUGUUAAAAAUUAAUAGAAUUUCCCUAAUCCCGACCGUAUUAAUUUAUAGAUGUUUAACUGUAUAUAUAUAUAUAUAUACAUGUAUGUAUAAUUGUGGUUUGCAGGUUAGAGGAACUGAUUAUGGCACUAAAGAUGGAACUUGUGUAAGAGACUACAUUGAUGUAACUGAUCUAAUAGAUGCACAUGUCAAAGCUUUGGCCCAUGCCAAGCCCGGAAAAGUCGGCAUUUACAACGUUGGCACCGGAAAAGGUCCGUUUUUUUUUUUAAAUAUUUUUUUCUUAAAUAUAAAGACACCAUCAAAAUUGUUUUUAAACGUGACAACUAUGUUGUCGGAUUUUCUUUCGGGCCAAAUCUGACGAUCUGGGCCCGAUCCACAAUCAACGGAUUGGUUAUUAGUUAUUCGAGGGCAAUUCAACUUUUAUUUUUUAAAUUGAAAAAUAUACUUAGACCUCGUUUGGUUGCCAGAAUUAGAUGAGGAGUCAAUUGUGUAAUUGGACUAGAGGAAGCCUAAUACACAAUUCGUUACAUGAUUGUGUUAACGAGUGUUUUGAUCAACGUUUGAAUGUGCAGGUAGUUCGGUGAAAGAAUUUGUGGAGGCGUGUAAAAAGGCGACGGGUGUGAACAUAAAGGUGGAUUACCUAGACCGACGCGCCGGCGACUAUGCCGAAGUUUACAGUGAUCCUUCGAAGAUAUUUAAUGAACUCAAUUGGAAAGCUAAAUAUACUAAUCUUCAAGAGAGUUUGGCUGUUGCUUGGAGAUGGCAAAAGGCACAUAUAAAUGGUUAUGAAAAUUAAUUUACUUUUUUUUUUUUUUUUUUUUUUUAUAAUUAUUAUUAUUUUCACAAAUCAGAUAGCUUUUUUUUUUUUGAUAAAAACAUAAGAAUUAAUUGUUCUGAAGGGAGUUGGUGUUUUUUGCAAAUAGAAGGACAAAUUUAAUUCAAGUUUGGUAGCAGAGUUACAUACACUUGCAAAUGGCUUUGUUCAUGCUGUUAUUAUAGCAUAUUCCUAUUGUCUUCUUAAGUUUUACUUUUUAACUUUUAAGAAUAUCAAAACAUAUCCAGCGCCGCCGAAGCACCACCGUCUGGAUAUCAAACACCUCCACCAUACACCCGGAAUUGAAAUAGCCCUCCUCUCGUAAAAAUGCAAGUUCCUCAUCUGCGUACCCGACCAACGCAUUAUGCGGCAGAGCUUCUCCCAUCCCAUCCAAUACAUUAUGCUUUUUCAGCCAUCGAGUUUAGUAUUGAUAUGCAACAGUUUGUGUAAUCGACAAUGGUCGAUUAAUAAAUCAACUAUGCUUCUUUUAAAGUCGAUUUAUUGUUUUUAAGUCCGAAUACAUUUUAAUAUUUUAAUCAACUACACAAACAGCGUAGUCGAUUUCCAUUCAGUUUAAUUCAGAAUUUCGUGAAAAAUACAAGGUAGUCUAGAAUGUUGCAAAAAAACAUACAGAGAGAGAGAGAGAGUUAUUCUUAAUUAUCAAAUAGUGGACGAGAAAUUAGAAGCUACACCUGGUUAUUUAUAUUGGAUAAAUUUGAAUCGUGCAUCUGAACAUAAUGACACACACACACCUAUGUGUAUGUGUACUCAGUGGUUAAUUAUUUAAUCAAACAUACGAUUUAAAUUCACUCGAUAUAAAUAAUCAGAUGUAACAUCUAACUUUCAAUUGUGUAAAUAGUCAGGGAAUCAACAAAAAUAUUUGAAAAUUUGCUACACAUAUAUAUAUUUCUAACUUUUCAAAAAUUGCAAAACGGUCCCAUUUUUUUUAUCCGUGAGGUGUCCUCGAGCGUCAGACACAAAACGUAUUCGAAAUAUAAUAUAUAUAAAACACAAACAUUAAAUAACUGAAAUGAUUUGUGCAGGCCAAAAUUAAACAUUCAGGCACAUUUUUUACCAUUUUUCAAAAAACAAAAAGUAAAAAAACUCAAAACUCUCUCAACCUUUCGAUUUUCUUUCGCAAAGCCCGUGCAAAUCGUCAACAGAUCGGAGGUAAUUUUUACGUUUUUACGAUCCUCUUGUUAUGUAGAUUACGAAUCCGGAAAAAAAAAACGAAAAAAAUCACACGUUGGCCUGCUCGUGUGAAUUUACACGAGCGCAUCCACUGUGCUCGUGUAAAUCCACACGAGCAGGCAUUUUUAUUAUUUUUUUUUUAUUUUUUUUAAUUGCUCGUGUAAAAACACACGAGUGGUUGCAAAGUGCUCGUGUGAAAUCACACGAGCAGUUUGCAACCGCUCGUGUGUUUUUACACGAGCAGAUUAUUAUUAGUUUUUUUUUUUUUUUUUUUGAUUUAUAAGAUGCUCGUGCAAAAACAUGCGAGCAUUUCAACAGUGCUCGUGUGAAAUCAGAUGAGCACUGUUGAAAUGCUCGUGUGUUUUUGCACGAGCACAAAAAUUUAAUUUUUUUUUUUUUAUUUUUUUUAUUUUUAAUUGGGUAGGAAUAGUACAAAAGGUAAAUAGUUAUGGUAAAAAGGUAAAAAAUCAUGGUAAAAAAGUGCCUGAAUGUUUAAUUUGACCUGCGUAUAUCACCACCCAAUAAAUAAAGAAGAGAAAAUCCAUUAUGAGUUAAGUUAGAAUUAAAGCUUGAAAAAGGUAAUGUCUUCCAUUAGCUAUAAUCAGAAACCAAAGCAUACGUGUUCAAAACCAGAACCAUAUCUCCAUCACUAUCAAUUAUCAGUUCGCUUCCAUGGAUGGACCAUAUUUCAGCAGCACUUACGCACAUGAAUCGAGAACUCGUUGCUUCAAUUUCCCUCCAUAUAUAUAUAUACAGGAAUUUUUGCAGAAAUUAAUAUCGGGUAAAUUUGGGGGAAAAAUCAAUGGCUUUGCAUUUGAGCAGCGCUUGCUUCUCUGCUUUUAGCGGGAGUAAAGUUCGUGCAGUUAGAGCAGUGGCUUCUGAGCAGGGCGGCGUUUCCGUGAAGACAACCGAUGAGGGGAAGGUGAAAUUGGGCGGUUCGGAGUUGAAGGUGACGAAGCUAGGGCUUGGAGCUUGGUCAUGGGGCGACACAAGCUAUUGGAAUAAUUUCAAUUGGGAUGGUAAAUUACAUUUCUCCCCACUCCAAUUUUCUUUUCAGUGUUUCAAUUUUUGAUUUGUGUGUGUGUGUGUGUGGUAAUUGAAUUAAAUUAUAGUUUCAUUUGCUAGAGAAGAGCUGGUAAUGGAAUGAAAACACAUUGAUGUUGCUAUUACAAGGCUUGUUUGUUUGUUUGUUUUUUUCGAUUUUCCGAUCAAGUGUUAAAAGAAUCAUUAAUGUUAGCUCAUAAAGUUCAGAUUGCUACAGUUUGUCUAGUAUAUAAAUUCACCCGUGAUUAAUGCCGUCAUGAUUCGUGUAAUUAGAUUGCCAACAAAAAAAAUAAUAAAAAUAAUCGAUUUUCUUGAAUUAUGUUCGAUUUCAGACAGGAAAUUGAAGGCUGCAAAGUCAGCUUUCGAUGCCAGCAUCGACGGUGGUAUAACAUUCUUCGAUACUGCAGAGGUUUAUGGCUCACGGGUAGGAAUAUUUUUCUUUUAGUAUUCAUUUUGCUUCAAUGCAUUUUUAUCGACAAUAUUACAUAUUGUCUUAAAAAAAUAAAAAAUCAUAUCAUGUUCUUGCAGAUGUCGUUCGGUGCUAUCAGUUCCGAAACACUACUUGGAAGGUAACCAUUGACCAUAUUCGUAACGCGCAAUUUUCCUUUUUUUUUUUUUAAUUUUAAUUAAAAGCUAUCGUAAAUAAUUAGAUUCAUCAAAGAAAGGAAAGAAAGGGAUCCCGAUUUUGAGGUGGCUGUAGCUACCAAAUAUGCAGCUUUACCAUGGAGAAUCGGUCGAGAGAGUGUUAUUUCUGCUCUCAAAGAUUCUUUAUCUCGUCUCGAAUUGUCUUGUGUUGACCUAUAUCAGCUCCAUUGGUAUGUGAGAUUAUCAAUAUUUCUUUUUUGUACCAUUUUUUAAUCCCAAAAUUCAUAUUGAUCGAUUUGUCAUUACGUCAAUAUUUCAGGCCAGGAAUAUGGGGCAACGAAGGUUGUCGAUAAGUAUUUCAAUUUUCAUCGUGUUUGAAAUAUAUAUAUAUAUAUAUAUAUAUAUAUAUAUAUAUAUAUAUAUAUAUAUAUAUAUAUAUAUAUAUAUAUAUAUAUAUAUACACGCAUAUAUAUAUAUAAAGAGGGGUAUAGAAAAAUCGGGAUUAUUUUUUUUUUUCCAGGAUAUAUCGACUGUCUAUCCGAUUCUGUGGAGCGAGGUCUCGAGAAAUCUGUUGGAGUAUCACACUACAGCGGAAAAUUUCUUGCCAUUUUUCUUAAAGAGAAGAUAUAUGCACUUACUAAAUAAUUCUCUAUUUUAAAAUAUAUUAAAAAAAAUAGAGUUUCGUAAUUUGAAAUGAUUUAUGGUUAUUUAGAGAAGCGUCUUCGUGAGGCAUACAAUCAAUUGAAAAAGAGAGGUAUACCUUUGGCUUCAAACCAAGUAAACUACAGUCUGAUAUAUCGACUCCCCGAGGAAAACGGUGUCAAAUCGACCUGUGAUGAACUCGGUAUCACCUUAAUUGCAUAUUCGCCACUUGCUCAAGGUGAAAAGCCUAGCCGUUUUUUUUUAUAUUUUUAUUUCACUUAAAAAAUGUUUAAUUAAUAUACUCGAGAUAAUUUAGAUUAAUUCUGGUAUUAUUCAGGUGCACUUACGGGGAAAUACACUCCAAAUAACACUCCGACCGGUCCUAGAGGAAGUAUUUACACCCCCGAAUUCAUGACUAAAGUAAGUGGUUUUAGUUAAAAGAGAAUUAAUUCUAAUAAGGGUUUACUACCGAAUUAAUAUUUUAUUUAUUUUUAAUUUUUCUUUUUGGCAGCUACAACCUCUAAUAAACCGGAUAAAGGAGAUUGGAGAAGGCUACGGCAAAACCCCAACUCAGGUUCGUUCUUUCAAAAUGGUACCUUAUUUUUCAAUUCAAGUUGCUUCAUAGUAUUUGUAUCUUACACUGUAUAUUGCAAGAAAUACUUUUAAUUGGCUAAUAUCUCUGCAAACUCAUCCUUGUAUUCGAGGGUUUUAUUGCAUUUACCACCCCCAUAUUUACUCUAAUUGUCAAAAACCCACUAUGAUUCAAUUUUAUUAGCAAACUACGCUAUAAUAACCCACCAUUUUAGGGGGUAGUGUGUUAAUUAGUAUUUUAGAGGGGUACUAAUGCAAUUAACUCUAUAUUUGAAUUCGUUACAUCUGUACCUUGGCGGAGCCAAAUUUUUCUAGUCGGGGUGAUAAUAUCUACACUAGUAGUAAAAAACAAACAAGCAAAUUUCUGUAUAAAACAGUAAAUUUUCGACAAAGUGGAGGGGGGGCCAUGGCCCCCCUUAGCCCUAUGCUGGUUGUGUCACUCCCUACACGAACGACAAAGUCCUAACUGUCUUAAUUGGAAUCCAUAUGCUAAUCAUGAAUGCCAAUUGUUGGACAUUAAAACAUUCAAUGAUUUUUUUUUUUUUUGACAUGAACAGGUUGUCUUAAACUGGCUCGUUGCUCAAGAAAACGUGGUCCCGAUCCCGGGGGCCCGCAAUGCGGAACAAGCACAAGAAUUCGCCGGUGCGGUGGGAUGGACACUUAGCAACGACGAAGUCGAAGAGCUGAGAUCAAUGGCAUCACAAGUAAAACCAGUCGUUGGUUUUCCAGUUGAGAAGUUAUAAAGUUUAUACAAGCCUUAUAUUAUAGUAUGAAUUAUAUACAACUAAGGUAUAUGUUAGUAUACUGUAUAGUGUGAAUCUUGAUUAUUUCAAUAAUAUUUUUGUGGUUAAACGUGCUGGUUUUUUAAUUUCUUUAUUUCUUUUUGUUAUAUAUAUAUAUAUAAAGAAAAUCAUUAAAUAUAUAAUUAAUCGGUCAAAUCUCGCUAAUAGUUCCUCAUUUUAAUUUUUAGUUUCACUUAGUCCCUCAUAUAGUCCUUUGGUAUAUAAUUUAGUUAACUUUAACGAAAUCUUUUAUUUAUUGAAUGUAAAUAUUUUUAUAUUUUUUUGUGAUAAACUAUAAAAAAAUUAGUAAAGAAAAACAUACAUAAUUGAAUUAGUUUUUUUAAAUAUUAAAAUGAGGUCAUAAAAAAUAUAAUUAAAUUUUUUUAUAGAGACAAUAUAUGUAGAUGACAUAAUAUUAUUAUUUCAACAAAUUUUUCAAUUCAAGUCGUAUCCACAAAAUAAAUGAUUCAUUUUAUAUUAAUAUAAAUUAAUAUUUCGUAAAAUAGUAGUUUCUAAAGUUAUAUUUUUCUUGAUUGCAAACACUAUUUUUAAUAUUUAAUUUAAGAGAAAAAGAUAGAAGAUGAAAAACAGAGAAUGAGUCAUUAUCAAGAAUAAUAUUAUCCAAUAAUAAAUAAAUAAAUAAAUAAAAGUGGUUUGGUAAUUGGUGCUGCAUCUAUGAUUUUCAGAAUCUUUACAAAAAACAAGUGGUAAAGAAUGUGCAGUUGGAACAUUCUAUCAAGUCCCAAUGAACGGCUUAAAUAAAAAUUACAAAAAUAUAAAAUAAAUAAAAUGAGCGGCUACUAUAACUUAUUUUUUCACUAUUGUUAUUAUAAAUAAGAACUAGGUAAAUUACGGUCCAGAUCAAAUUACGAAAAAACUUCUAUAUAUUAGAGAAUUUUAUUGAAUUUGCAACUAAUUUUUUUACUUUAACCCACAAAUUUAUAAUAGCACAUAAUGUUUAAAGUUUUUUUUUUUUUUAUCUUAUUUAACUUUUUUACAAUUUUUUUUGAUUAAAAAAAUUAACUAAAAUAUUUGUUAAUUAUAGAUAUUUAUACUUUAAUUAUUUAAUUUCAUUUUUUCUAGAAAGUACCUAGAUUUUUUCUACAAGCUUACAUAUCAAUUGAAAUAAUCUAUCCAACCAACCACUUGCUUCCAAUAAUAGAUGUAAAGAUAGCAAUGAAUAUAGAAAAAGUAGUUAGAUUUUAAAUUAUUAUUUAUAAAUAAUAAUUUUGUGUCAAAUCAAAUGGGACCUUUUCUUUUGGAAAGGGGUAUGAUGUUGCAUUGGAUAUAAUUACUCCGAUUUAAUAGUUUGAAUGCCAAUUUACAUGGUUGCACUUGAUUAUUAAUAUAAUUUUUUUAACUAUUAGCCAAUGAUUUUGAUUGAUCCCAAUACUUUAUUAAUUUUUUUUUUUUUAAUGAAAGAACAUGCAGUCCACUGUAUAAGUAUACUGGAUAAUUCUACACACUCGUAUAAUAGUUUGCAAAUCAUACAAGAGACAUAAAUUACACUAGACUAACCACGUGUAACAAGUUCCACAUAGCGACCGUUAGCAAGUAGAUACGAAUUUUGAUAUACACUCACUUUUACCAGACACGUACGUCGACAGAUCUUAUGUAAAUUAAAUUAUUUUAACGUUCAUUAUAUUGCAUAGGUUACGAUUCUCAAACAAAAGUUAAAAUUUUGGAAACGAGAUGAACUUGCCUUGUACCGAGCGAGUAUAGUGUAGUGUACUCGGUCUACACGGCAAGCUCAUUUAGUUUUUCUAUCUUUUUUCCUUUAAAUUCUGCGGAAAAAAAAAAUUGUUUGAACUCGCCUGGUACCAAGUGAGUUCGCUAGACCGUCCUUUAAUUGUCGAUUCACAACAUAUCCAAUUCUUAAUCCGCUCUUGUUAAUGUGGAAGGGAACGAUCACGGUUCCGAGUCAUUGGCCUAAUUAAUCAAUUCAUUGACCACAUACUGUCAAGUUCGAAUCGGACAGUGACCGUAGACAUGUCUAAUCUAGGGUUGGUAAACAAGAUAAGCCGAUUUGUGAGUUCGAUGAGCUGGUUCGAACUCGAAUUUUUCGAGCUUGAGUUUUCUGACGAGUCGAACUCGAGCUUUUUUUAAUUGUUUGUGUGCUCACGACUCGGUUGGCGAGGCUUAUUAUUAUAUUUUUAAUAUAUUAUUUUUAUUUAAAUAUUAUAGAACUAAUAUAAAAAGAAGAUAUAAAUAUUAAAAAUAUAUAUAUAUAUAUAUAUAUAUAUAUAUAUAUAUAUAUAUAUAUAUAUAUUUAUGAUUACAUUUUAUUGUUUUAUUUUCUAAUUUUUUUUUAUUAUAAUCUAAAUAAUUAUUAAUAAUAAUUAUAAUUAAAAAAACAAAAAAAUCCCAAAACGAGUUUGGGCUCAAGCUCGAGCUCGAGUCUAUUUUGUCGAGCUCGAGCUAAAGCUAAAAAGAAAAAAGAAACACGACGAGCUCGAGCCUGCCAAAACAGGCAAGCUCGAUUGUUGAUACCUCUAAUCUGAUCCCUUAUAAAUAUUAAUUUUAUUUAUUUAAAAUAAAAAAAAAAAAAAAAAAAAUAGAAAGAGAUAAGGUGAAGAAUAGAAUAAUAAUAAAAAAAAAAAAAAAAAAAGAGGGCCCACCUUUACAGCGAUUCUGUGAAUUAAGCAAUAAGGGAAAGGGAAACAAGCAACGUGGCAAGUUGGGUGGGUCGGGUCAUUGUAUACGGCUUUACCGAGGGAGAAGAUAUAGAUUUUCUAUACAGCUGUCCGAUUCGAAGCAUGUGGGCCCCAAGCAAUCCAAUCCCACCACUAAUCUACCGACACGUGGGGGAUCUUAUGCUGACCACCGCUGUUUAACUUGAUAGAACUGUAGGGAACUACCAACUGUAUGCAAUCACCCAACACCCACUCUUUGUCUCUCUGUGCAUGUCUAUUUCUUUUGAUGCUUCUGCUUUCUUUCAUGAAUCAAUAUUGACUGAAUAUAUAUAUAUAUAUAUAUAUAUAUAUAUAUAUAUAUAUAUAUAUGUAUGUAUACAUAAAUAAUUGCUUGUUCAGUUUCUUUCUGCAGUGUUUUCUGAGGUCAGUUUUUUUUUUUUUUUUUUAUAUAUAUAUAUGUAUAUAUAGUGCUAAAAUGAGAUAUUUAUUUAUGAAUUUUUUUUUUGGGUGAAUGAAUGUAUAAUUUGAAGGGAUUGAUUUCUUUAUGGUGGGAUUUUUUGUUUGAAUUUUGCACUUAUAUUUGAUGAUUCAAUUUUGCAAUUGAUGUCACAUUUUGCAAUUAUUGAUCCAUUUUGCGUCUCUUAGAGAGAGAGAGAGAAAUUGAUUGAUUGAUUGAAUGAUUGAUUGAUCCAUAGUUAAACUAUUAGUGGUAAUUUAGUAUAAAAAACAUUAAAUUAGUUUGGCAAUGAUUAAUGAAAAAAUCUAUUUUUUUUUUAGCAGAAAUUAAGGUAUGGAGUCUUGCCUUAUUCCUGAUUGGAAUACUGAAGUUGGAGUUGAAUUCCCAACCUCCAUUCAAAGAAAAUCUCUAGGGUAAGUUUUCUUCAAAUUAAAAUUCUUACAAUUUUAUUCAAAUAAAAAAUUAAUUUCAUUAAUAAAUAAAUAAAGAUUAAUUUUUUAUUUGUCAUGCAUACAUACUACAGAAUAGACAGUGAUCUAAUGGAGCUCUUAUGGCAAAAUGGGGAGCUAGUUCUGCACAGCCAAACAAACCACAGGAAAAUAAUCAACGACGAUCCCUCGUAUAAAUCGAAGCAAUCCCACAAUACGAAUAACCGAGUAUCGACAAGUGGCGCCACCGAAAUAUCCAACACUUUCAUCCAAGACGACGAGACGUCGUCGUGGAUCGAUUGCCCGAUCGACGAAUCUUUCGAGAAGGAGUUCUGCGCCAAUUUUUUGUCCGACGGAAUUCCUCUCCAGUGCGAAAACGUGCUGUUUUCACCGCCGCCAAGAUUCGAGUCAUUUAAUAAUAGUAAUAGUAAUAAUAAUAGUAAUUGUAAUAAUCAGGAGAUGCAUGUACAAAAAAGACGGGCGGAAAACGGUGGGGUCCCGGAAUGUUCCGGAAGGACUUUCGGAUCGAGCCACUGUGCGAGUAAUCAGGUAGUGGAUAAAGUAAAAAGCAGCGAGAGUAUGGAGAGAGAGACGAUCGGACAAGCGAUCGCUUCUUGCUCGGGUGGAUCUGGUAAUAGUAGUUUUUGGAAGACGAGCAGUCCGUGUUCGAACGAUACUACUAAUGGUCAUAAAAGGAAGAGUAGGGAUGUCGAAGAAUCGGAGUGUCGAAGUGAUGUAUGCUUAUUUUUUAAUUUUUUUUCGUUUUUUUUUUCCGGACAUAAAAAGAUAUGAUUUUUUGAGUUUGGGGAGUCUUUAUUUUGUGCAGGCAACUGAAUUGGAGUCGGGUUCGGGAAAUAAGUCUCGAACGAAUCGUAGGACUCGUGUAGCUGAAGUGCAUAACUUGUCCGAAAGGGUUAGAUACUACGAUUUUUUUUUUUUAAAUUCCGCAUCAUAGUUCGAUUUUUUUUUUAAAUUUUGGUAUUGAUCGUUUAGUUAUUCUGCGUUUUUUUAUCGCAGAGACGACGGGACAGGAUUAACGAGAAGAUGAAGGCAUUGCAGGAGCUUAUCCCUCACUCUAACAAGGUGAAACUUCUUUGUCUCGAUUGAACCCUCGAUUAAGGGUAUUUUCGUAAUUUAGGCAUAUCUCAGGGGCGGUUUACUCGUAAUUUACCCUUGAAUUAUUUGCACAAAAUUGCUAGUCUUAGAGAACAUUUUUGUAAAACUGCGUAUUUCGUUCGUAAUAACAAGCCGUGUUUUUUUUUUAACAAGUUGUGUUUUCUCUGUCUCGAUUGAAACCUCGAUUAAGGGCAUUUUCGUAAUUUAGGCAUAUCUCAAGGGCGGUUUACUUGUAAUUUACCCUUGAAUUAUUUGCUCAAAAUUGCUAGUCCUUGAGAACAUUUUUGUAAAACUACGUAUUUCGUUCGUAAUAACAACUCGUGUUUAAUUUUUUUAUUUUUUAUUAUUAUUUUUUUUUAACUCGAGUUUUUUCGGUUUUAAGUCGGAUAAAGCAUCUAUGCUCGACGAGGCAAUUGAGUACAUGAAGUCCUUGCAAUUACAACUUCAGGUAAUAUAUAAUAACUACCUCCGUUUCAUAUUAACUGUCGCAUUGGCUAUGUAUAUUUUCUCAUAUUACGUGUCACCUUUUUUUUGGUGUUUCAAUAAAUUACGUGUAUACAUACAUAUAUGUAUAUGCAUAUAUCAGUUGAUGUGGAUGGGGAGUGGAAUGGGGCAGAUGAUGCUUCCGGGCCUGCAGCAGUACAUGUCGCGGGCCGGGAUGGGAGUGGGCCCGCAAAUGUAUCCAGCUCAUGUGGCGGUUCAAAAUCUGGUGCGUCUAUCGAGAUCGCCCCUCGUUCAUCAAGCAAUGAAUAUUGCCUCGAACCAAAAUCAAGGCCCGAUGGGACCCAGUCACGUCGUGGGCCCGGUUAAUUACCCGAAUCAUAUGCAGAAUUCGGGUUUUCACGAGCAAUAUGCUAAUUACAUGGGCUUUCAUUCGACACCUAAUGCGUCACAGGUUUGUAACUUGUCGCACAGAUUAGCCAUGAUUACUUAAAUAAUUGGACUCUGGUUGAUGUUUGGUAAACCGGAUAAUUUUCAUUAAUUAAUCAAUUUUGUCUUAUCUUAGGAACCAAACGAGGCAGUAGUGCAUAAAAGUACUAUGAUUAUAUAUAUAUGUAAUAUAUUCGGGCUAAUCGUUUUGCUACUGCAUUUUGCAGCCGAUGAACAUGUUCAACUUCGGUUUCCAUUCGGCACAACAGAAUCAAGUAUCGGCACCACCGGCCAAUGGCAACGAAGCUAUUUGAAUCAUAAACGGCUGAUAAUAGACGAACCAUUCGACUUCCCGUAAACUAAAAUAAUUUUGUUUUACUAAUUAUUUUGUGAAAGGUAUCAAAAAUGUAAUUAAUUUAUCGGUACAUGAAUAUGUUCGAAAUUUAAGUCUUCAGAUGAAGUGGUCAUUUAACAAAGUCCGAACAAUAAUAUACCAAAAACAAAAUACUUUGCAAUUACAAUAUUUACAUAAUAUCAUACAUGAAAUAAUCCAAUUUGAUUUUUUUUUAAAUUAAAAAAAAAAAAGGGAUAAUUGUUUUUAAUUAAGGUUGAAAAAGGCAAUGAGAGGAUUGUAGACAACUUCCUUAGCAUUAAUCCCAUAAACAAAGUCCAAAUGAGCAUAUUCUUCCGUAUACUGCAACACGAUCUUAUCGGGAUCGUGGUCCGAUAAUGUAUCGAUCAACGUUUGCACGUCGUUUACAUCCGACAGCAAAUCUUUCCCACCGUAGCCAAGGAAAAUCGGGAGGUUGUUCGGUAUGCUCGUAAUGUUGUACUCCGGAGGACUCGAUUGCCCGUAGUGUUUUUUGUUCUCGCCUUCGUCGUCGUAGUCGUACAUCGCUAUCGUCCCUCGUCUGAUCACUGUCAUUUAUUUUCUUUCUCGUCUUUUUAAAUCGAUUGAAAUUUUCGCCUUUUUGUAAAAAAAAAAAAAAAAAAAAUCGAGACUUACUUUGUGCAAGAUGGACCAUGUUCUUUGUGGCAGUUGGUUGUUGGUGGUCAAGAUUCGACUUUGAUGUGUUCAUGCAACAAUUUGGACCUAUAUUACAGUAGAAACUCGAUAAAUUAAUACUCGAUAAAUUAAUAACCUCGAUUAAUUAAUAGAUUAAUAGAAUUUCCCGGAUCCCGAAUGUAUUAAUUUAUAGAGGUUUAUCUAUAUAUAGUAAAAAUGAAAUUUCGGGUAUUUUAUAAUUACGACGAACAUAUUUAAAAAUAAAAUAAAAACGCGAGAAAAUACCGGUAAUAACACUCUCCAAGUCGGUACAGUUGAUUUUGGUGCAGACUUCAGCCACAAGUUUGGAAGCAGCUCCCCUGUUAAAAAGUCAACAAAUAUCCGUUAAUCGUGUUUUUUCGAUGGAGGGGGCCAUGGCCCCCCGUAGCCCUACGCUGUAUAUACGGAGAUUCGUAAUUCUUACCCUCCGGGGUCGAACUCGUUCAGUCCCAACCAGUACAAGUCCUGUUAAUAUAAUUCAUUACCACACGUAAGUUUUUUCGACUUAAGAACUAAUGUCGAAUUACUUGAAGAUCUUUCGAUUUUCGAAUAGCAAAAAAAAAAAUCGAGAUAUUUACUUCGGCUAUGAAUGAAUCGGCAGCAGCUCGGGCUAGUGGAGACGGCAUUUGUCCCAUGUAAGCUAUGGGGCUAAGUAGAGCAGCUGAUCUUACGAUAUCCGACACCUCGUUUCUUGAAAAUGCACCGAACGCCAUCAACGUACCCUAUUUUUUUCGUUUUUUUUUUAAAUUCACAAUUAUAAAUUCAUUUUAGGGAAUAUAAUUUAUAGUAUUUAUGUGAUUUAAUUUUUUACCAAGGAAUGGCCAACAUAGUGCAACUUGUGCCCUGUUUGGUUAUAAACAUAUUGGAAUGUAGAUGGAAGAUCAUAUGCUACUAAUUCAUCCCACGACCAAUUCCAGUAUUCCUGUUGUCCGAAAUUUACGAAACUAUGUCGUAAGAAACUCGAUUCGACGUACCAAACUAAACAUAAAAAAUAUAUAUUAUUAUUAUUUAUUACCGGAUCGUCAGGAGUGAGAGACGUGUGUCCGGUGCUGUAAGUGGUCCCGCGCACACUAGCCAACCAAACGUCGAACCCGUUGUCUGCUAAUAUAAAUCCCAAUGACUCGGCGGGCGAAUUCGAUAGCCAUGUCAUCGCAUCCUGAUCAUUAGUAUUUUUUUAUUAAAUACAGUUAAACCUCUAUAAAUUAAUAGAGUUUAGAUCAGGGAAAUUAUAUUAAUUUAGCGAAUUUAUUAAAUUAUCGAGUUAAUAAUUUAACACGUUAUCGAGUAUUAAUUUAUCGAGGUUCUACUGUAAUGUAAAAAAAAAUCUUAAUUUGGAAAAAAAAAAAAAAAAGCCGAGGUUGUGAGUAGUUACACUCAUGAGUCCGUGCUGGAGAAGAACCGGCGGCUUAGCUCCGCCGUUAUUUCCGCCGCCGGUUCGUCCGGUCGGGAUCCUCUGCAUGCUCAGAAUAUAACCGUCUUUUGUAGUCACCUGAUUAUUAAAUACAUACUUUUUACAUCAAAUAAACUCCGAAAAAAACAAAGGAAAGAAAAAAAAACGAUAUAUUAAUCUCGAAAUCGUGUUCGUAUAUAUACUCGAUGCUCUUCACACGUAUAGCCUUGUGUCACCACCAUUAAAUUACAGAUACCAUCGGAAGAAUCGCUGUACUCCGUGCGCCAAUCGAGCUUUGUUCUUCCACCGGAUGCAAAUGCAGUAAACAAAAGUAGAAUUAAUGCAACUAAGGAUGCUGUCAUUGUCUUGAAGAUUAUUUAGCCUUUCUCUCGUUUUUUGCUUCGCUUUCUCGAUUGUUGCCGUAGUUUUUGUAGGCGGUGGAAAAUCGAUAAUCUCGUUGAACAAGACAUGGAAUCAAAAUAUCGGUUACAGGCGUACGUUGAUAAUGAUAAUAUAAUUGUUUAUGAAGUAAUAAUAAAGUUGUUUUUUAUGAAGAAUUUGAGAAUAUGGAUACAUUUUAGGGAAGUUGAAGUUACAUUUGGCCUUACUCUGCCUUAGUUUUACUAAGUGUUUCUCUAGAAGAUAGAGACAAAUAGGUAGGGGAGAAAACUAGAAUUAUUAUUAUUUAUUUUUUAUUUUUUUUAAUUUGAAGAUUGUUUUAGAUUUAAUCAAUGGCUGCAGAAAAGGCCAAUUAUGUAGUUUUAAUGACUGGUUUAAUUAUCAAAUAAUUUCAUUUGAUGUUGAUGUGGGAAAUGAUUUAAGGGUCAAAUAAGUUGUGCAUGUGGUAGUAAAAUACGGUCACCCCUGAAGUAAGGUUAAAUUACGGAAAACCCCCUUCUGUUUGGGUAAUUACAAUUACCCCUCAACUAUGAAUCUUCUUACAUGUUCAUCCUUAUGGUGUCAAAUUCAACAUCAUCUUCUACAUUCCGUGGAAUAAUCUCUAGUUUGUACUCGUUUUAUGCAGUUUCAGACGCACCACAAUUUAAUAUUUACAAACCAAGAAACACGUGUUAUGAUCACCUUGUUUCAAAAUGUGGAGCUCGGAUGGGGUAGGACGGGUAAAAACUAGAGAAUAUUCCAUAUCAUCUAGAAGAUUCCACUAAAUUUGACACCACAAGAGUAAACGUGUAAGAAGAUUCAUAGUUGAGGGGGUAUUUGUAAAUACGCAAACAAGAGAGAUUUUUCCGUACUUUAACCUUACCUUAUGGGGUGUGGCCAUAACACACUGAACAAACGAAAUUGAAUCUUUUUUACUCGUUUUUAUCGCAUGAUUGGCAAACAACUUCUUCGGCUCAAAAGUCCUGUUUCGAACAACUAGGAGCCAGUUUUCAAGUCGUGGUAACAAGGAUAGGUUUGUGUUCCGCAAUGCCGACGCAGAUGAUUCUAAUAUUGAAUGUUAAAAUUUCAAUUUUCAUAUUGAAUGUUAAGAUUUCAAUUAUCAAUUUCAAUAAAAUAAAUAAAUAAAACACCAAUUUGCAGGAGAAAAUAAUCAACCAAAAGGGUCCAACAAAUACAUUUAACAGGCACACAAAUAGGCAGUUCUUCCCAAGAAUACAUUACACUCUCAUUUAAGCAACAAAAGCCAAAAAAAGAGCGUUUAUUUUCUUCACGACACAGCAAACCGGAGAUGAUUACAUAAAAACCGAUGCUCUGAGAUCAUCCAAUCGAGAAAUCUUUUGAUUUCCACAAUUUCUCACAAAGCAACCAGUUAAGUACAACACCAUUUUAUCAUCAAAUCACUAAAAUCCCGUUUGUAAUAAUAUAUAGUCGGCGGAUAAGAAAAUUACAUACGAGAAAUCAACGGUGGAACAAAAAUCGGAACAUCCUCACCCAUUACUGGCUGGAAAAGAUCCAAUUCUCCAUACCGCUCCAAAACUCGCAUUCUACAAUCCUCGGCAGCCAUUAAUCCAGUGGAGUAUGCACCAUGCACCGAUCCUGGAUAAUCAAUACUCGUAGCUUCCCCGGCAAAAAAUAAAUUAUCCACUGGAAUCCUUAAUCUCUCGUACAAAUCAUGGGAUUUUCCAACUCUGUCGUAGCUGUAAGAACCCAACGAGUUUUUGUCCGAGCCCCAAUGUGAAACGAGGUAUUGGAUCUGCAUAUAUCAUUCACAAAGAGUAAUUAUGAUUUAUUUAUUUUAGAAGAUUAUGAACCGAUUAGGGUUUAUUGGAUUUAGUAUCUAUGUUAUACUGAAUUGCUAAAAAAACUCUCAGUUAUUAGUAUUAGCAUAAACGUCCACAGGGUUCUUUUUAGCAAACUACCCUUAAAACUCACCAUUUAGGGGGUUGUGUGCUAAAAGAAAAUGCACCGCUGGGAGAUUUUUGCUAAUAUCAAUAACUGCAUCAGUCUUUUAGCAAUUCGCUUAAAACACCCUAUAGUUCAUUUUUUUUAGCAGACUACCCCAAACACUCACCAUGGGUUGUGUGCUAAUGCGAAAUCAGGGGUAUUUGCUAAAUUCAAUAAAUUUGAAAGUUUUUUAGCAAUUUGAUUAGAAAACCCUAUGAUUCAUUUUAUUUUUGGCAAACUACCCCUAAAAACUAACCAUUAACGGGGUGGGGUUGUGUGCAAAAGAAUGCAACAUUGGGGGGGUUUUGCUAAUAUUAAUGGCACGGGUUUUUAGCAAUUUAAUAUAACAUGUGUGUACUAGAUGCAAUUAACUCAUAAAAUCUUUGUAAUAUUUAAAAAGAUAAGUAAAUAAGUAAAAUUACCGGCUCAGAGGCAUUUGGAAGGAUUCUUUUAAGUUGUAUAAAGGCAAAAUUAGCAGCAGCCUCGUCGGACAUUUUCUCAAUAUCACGGGCAAGUUGGCCCGAAGGCAUGUAAACAAGCACUUGAUGGCUUGUGGCCUUGUGCAAAUUGAGAAAAUAGCUGCACCCGUACGAAGUUUCUGCUACAACUCCCAAGAACUCUACAUUAGGCCAGAAAACGUUGUCGAAGUGCAAAAUUAUCUUGUUCUCAAUCCCAACUCCAAGGUCGUUGAUUGCUUCUUCUUUCCACUCGGGCAGUCGUGGCUCAAAUUCAAUGGUGUUUGAUUUCAGUACACCGAGUGGGACAGCAAUAACAGCAGCAUCUGCUAUAAAUGUUCUUCCGUCUUCUACAAUUACCUUUACGCCAUUAUAUCGCCUAACUACUUUUGUCACUCUGAAAGUAAAGCAAGAAAGCAAGGUCAGAAUUGAAUUGUAUAUUAGGGCCUCGUUUGGGAGUGUUGAUGGGAUUGAUAAGACAGAUUGAAUUGGUUGUGAUUACACUGUCUCGUUUUAUCAUUUGUGAUUAUACAUCGUGUCGUUCUUUUAUGAUGGGCUUGAAACCUAAAUCCCAAACAUUCGACCCAUUUUUUUUUAUUAUACUACCUAUCAAGUCCUAUCCUUAUUCCCAAACAAGACCAAGAAAGAAUUAACCCGGAGGGAAUAACUAACUAAAUUCUAACUAACCUUUGGCCCAAGCGAAUGUCGAGGCCUUUCGCAAGAGUAUUAAUGACAGGAAGGUAUCCUCGGACCAUGAGCCCAUGCCCACCGGGAAGCAACUCUUCCUAUAAAGAAAAUAUAAGAAAUGUUAACCAAUUUAGAACACAAUUUCACUAUUUGUAAAAGGUUAAUAAAAGAUUUCGUAAAAUCUUAACAAGAGGGAGUAACCUGGUCCCAGCCUUUGAGUGAUAUCGUAUCAGCAUCUGCAGCAAACCAACCUUCCAUUCUGCAUAGGUACCACUGCAACACUUUAUGCUCAAGCCCCUCCAACCUACAAAAUGGGUUAAAGUCAUCUCAGUUAAUGUUUAGAAUUUAGAUAGGUUUGAUAGAUCUGAUACUGUUAGAGAAAAAAAUGUGCAGGUAAAACCUUAAAUCUGGUCUUCUCUCAAAAACAGUUGAAAUGGCACGUUGUAUGGACAUGUCCUCGCUCGAUUCUUGUCUAACAAGAUCAGUCUGCAGACAAUAUUGUAAGCCAAAGGAGAGAUAGUAAAUAUAACCAAGUACUAGGGAAAUGCAGAAAAGAUCAAUCACAAGACAAAUCAAUUAACACUACAAUCUUUUUCUAACAUAAUUGGAAUACCUCUUUCAAGAUGCUCUCAAAUGUUACGCCAACCUUUGAGACUAAAUCUUGAGGAACUUGAUUUCCCUCCAUAUCAAAAAGGGCAUAACUGAAAGGAAAAAAUAUAUAUUAGUCACCAUUAAUAGCUGCAAUACAGUUGAUGAAAACAUAAAAAUCAAUUCUUUCAGAGCCAAGAAAUUUGAAUGUCUUCAUAGUAAAGCAAAAUAUAUAAAAGCACAAAAUAUAUGUAAUACCAGUGGAAUCUAGCUAGGAUUUUACUGAAUCGAGUGACAAAUUUUGAGAAGUGAAUGAACUAAGCACUUAAAUCGUGAGGAUAGUAUUGUUUAUUCCCAGAUUCAAGAAAUCCAAUACAAGAACGAACAUAUCCUCUUGAGAGUGAGCACCCGAGAAGUUAAAAGGGCAAAAAGAAGAACCUUUCUAAAUCGUGGUCAUACAGAACUGAGUUGUCUCCACUAGUCCGAUAAAGUGGUAGUCCCAGUCUUCCAAUAAUUGAAGCCAAUGGGUUCUCCUUGGAAACACCAUGUAACCUGUCAAGCAAUAUACGAGAAUAAUUAGCAUAAUAUUAUCAAGAUAAUGCAGUUGAUGAGUAACUGGACUACCAAAAUAGCAUAUUACGACUCCGACAGUGUAUAUUUCUACGCAGAGCAAAUAUAACUUACCACGAUGCACCCAAAUCAACAGGGAAACCAAAUGAAUAAUUAGUAUGUACUCGUCCACCAAUUCUAUCCCGUGAUUCCAAUAAGAUAACCUGCCAAAAAAAAUACAUAGUUUCUUCAGGACUAUUUUUCUUAAUCAUACAUAUUGUCAUAAACGAUAAUUUUACAUCUAAAUAUUGACCUGAAACGAGGCAUCAUGUAGAGCUCUCGCAGCUGCAAUGCCAGCAAAACCAGCACCUAUGACGAUAACCGACGGUGAGGCAGGCGAUCUCCUCUCCAAGGUCGAAUAACGAACAGCUACAAAAAAAACAAAACUUCCUCAGAAUAUAACCAUGACUUGUCUACUACAAACAAGUUGUUCGCUUGUUUACGAUACAAGUUUAGCUAACUUUAUCAUUUGCUAAACAUAAGAACCCGCAGCUAACCGAUUUAACUGCAUUCGUAAUAAUUCAACCCCAUCAGCAUAUACAAAGAUGAACAAACAAAAAAAAAUACUACAGCAGUGAUCAACCAAAGGGAAAGAUCAAACAAACAAGGCAGCUCAAAAAGCACGAAAAACGAAAGAUUAAUUAGGGCACACACCAGUUUGCAGCUGGGUAUUACUCUUGCUGUCCGUGGAAUCCAUAUCUCAGUGAAGAUCGGCAGCGGCAAUCGGCAAUACAGAAACAAUUACUACUAAAACUAAAAUUACUCGACGAAUCAACCGAUCUUAACCUCGAUAAAAGCUUAGAUAAUCUCAAUAACAAGAGGAACAACAAAAAGGUAUUGGUUUCCGUAAAUUGGAGAAUGGAAUAGGUGAAAUAGUUAGAAUUCGAAGACGAAAUACCCAGCUUUACCAAACGGCUCAUGCGUAUCUACCCAAAACCUACCCCACCUUCAGAUCGAUCAAAUGAAACCCUAAAUCGAAACAGAGAGAUAAAUACCAAACCGAGCGAAAUCACGAUUCCAAUUUUUUGGGGAAUUAAAACUAAAUUAAAAAAUUGCUAAAAAUUCCUGAAUAAUUCAGCAAUAAAAUCCCCCGUUAAUUUCUACUGAUGAAGAAGGAAAUAAUCGGGAAUUGUUUUCCCCAAAAAAACAGGGUAGAAAUUAAAGAGGGAUAACUGGUUUCUAGAGAGAGAAAGUGGAAGAGAGAAAAAAAGAAGGAAUCCUGUUUCGGAGGGGAGUUUGAGGCAAUGGCGGAGGAGUUCCGCUUUUAUUUAUAGACUGUGGGAGCCAACUCAUAUGUCACAUGAAAUAAAGUUUUGUUAGGUCACAUACUUUAUUUUUUAUUUUAUUUUAUUUAUUCUAUUUUUAUUUAUUUCAUUUUUAUUAUAUUUUUAACGAAUAGAUCCCGCAGCGCAGUCCACUUGUAUUACAGUCCCGGUAAUACAUCGGGUGAUUAUUGAUCGUUGAUUUGCAUAUAAUUAGAUAUACUAGUGGAAAGUUAUUUUACCAUGUUAAAAGUUAAUAAUUAUCUGAUGUGUUUUCACUAGGUGUAGCGUCUCAAUAACCGUGUCCGUAUAAUUCUUGUAUUGAUGUUGUGUAGAUAAAUAGUUGCCAUAUUUUGUGUAUAUUUUUUACUAACUAUAACAUGGAUUUGAUAUUUUUUAUUUAAACUAUAUAUGAACUUUGAUUAAAAAUUAAAUGGGGAAGUAUUUUAUUACAAUAUUUAUGAUUAAUAUAUCAUUUGGUUAAGUUGGUAAAUCGUCAUAGAAUGUGAUGAGGUGUUAGAUGUUACACUUGUUCGAAUUUUAUAUAAUAAAAUUAUAUUACACAUGUGAAUAUGUGAUGAGUGGUUAAUUGAAAUUUGAAAUUAACAUUAUUGUGUAAUAAUAGUUAUGGGGUCCGUGUUGGUAAAGUUUGGCCAAACCAAUUAUAUUGGACUUAUUAUAUAGUAUAAGGACAAAACCCUGAAAGAGAUUUAUUCGACCCACCAAUCUAAUAUACGGAAAAACUGAAGUCUCUUUAGAAGUUUGUCCGAAAAAAGUUCGUUAGAGCUGAGCUCGUUAAACGAUACCCCUGGAAUAUGAGGGUAGCGAACUCGCCGAUCUCAUGUGAACAUGCAAGAGGCGAUGGAGAGGAUAGGUAGAGUAGGUGGAAGAAGAAGAUUUGAAGAUAUUUUACCCAAAUAGAUAAGGAGUAUGUAAAUUGGAACUAGUAAUUAAGAAAUCAAUGUAAAUCUCGACAAAUAAAGAAAUUCUGAGAUAGAAAAUAGCCAUACACAAUUCUUUAUAUUAAGCGAAUGUAGCAAGCCCUAUUAGAGACAUAAUCGCAAUGUUAUCAGAACCGGACCGGCUAUAGAACCGGACGAUAUUUGGGUCAUGGGUUUAUAGGGUCGAACUGGUUCAACCGGGUUUUUGAUUUUUUUUAAUAUGCCGUUAUUUUAUUAAUUUUAAUGUUUUAAAAAUAUUAUUUUCUUUAUAUUUUUAAUCUCCGAGUUAUUAUUUUCACUUUUAUCUACUUCACCUCACUUUUGCCUAUAUUUUAUUGCUUAUAUUCUAUUUUUUCCAUUUUUUACUCUUCAAAUCCGGCAAUCAGUCACCCCUAUUCGAUCAUCUAUGAUCAUAUCCGACAAUCAUUCGACCACUCAUGAUUAGAUCCGGCCACCCACUACUAAGUAUAUGAAGGUUCGCUCAAAUCUAGCCACAAAUAACCAACUCAACGGUGAUUCGAGACGUUUUGGCCGAAAACCGCCUUGACUGACUCGGCGGUUCUCGAUUUUUACCCGAUCGAACCGAAUUUUGGUCAUUUGACCCCGAUUUUUGAUUUUUCCGGUUUUAGAUGUUAGACCGGACCGCUUUAUUGCCGGGUCACGGUCGAACCGGUUCGACCGGCCGGUUCGGUCCGGUUCUAACAACAUUGCAUAAUCGCAACGAUUUAACAUCAACCGUUCAUUUCCUGAAUUCUCUCUUUCUCUCUUAUUUUUAUCUUUUUUCGAUCGACUAGUUCGUCUUCGCCUGCCAAAUACCAGCACCGGACGUACUCUCCGAUAAACAAAAGAGUUGGAUUUAGAAGGAGACCUUGAAAGUGAAAAUCUCACACCAUAAAAUAAGAAGGCUACUAAUUUAAUUAUAAAUAAUUCAUCUAACUCGUUUUUACAAGGUGUACGUGAUUUUUGCUACUCUAAUUGUCUCGAGACUUUGAUCAAAUUUGACACGCUUUCGAAAAAAGAAUUUCAUUUUUCUUGGAAGGUGAAAACUAAUCCCAAUUAUGUAAAACAAAUGAAAAUUUUGGAAUUCAGAAAUUUUGAAAAUUGCAAUUAAAUUAGAAAUUCAAAAUUAUAUAGAUGUAAAAGGCAAAUUAUGGCCACCCCUAAGGUAUGGUCAAACUACGGGAAAAAAAAAUCAUUUUGUUUGGGUAAUUAGAGCCACCCCCUUCUUUUAAUUAUUUUUACAUAAAAUUUUAUGUAAUUUGGUUAUUUACCGAACCAAAUCGUAUAUUCAGUUCGGUAAACGGUAUGAAAUGUUGGCGUACCACAAUUUCAGUUGAGUUUUACCGAUUUAAUAUCCCUAAAUUUAUCUCUGGAGGGAAUAUUUGUGUACGAUGAUAUAUAGCUAAAGGGGGUCGCUGUAAUUACCCAAACAGAAAAAAAAAAAUUCGUAAUUUAAACUUAACUCGGGGGUCGUAGUUUGUCCAUAUAUAUAAAUUGGGUAAAAGUAGUGGUAGAAAUUUAGAAAGAGAAAAAAGGAAAAAGUCAAAAUUGGAGACCGACUAUGUGAAGUUGGGACCACUUAGCAAAAGGUGUCAUUUUCAGUGUUUGUGAGAGAAGACGAAAUUAAGUUGUCGUCACGUCACGUAUGGGUUUUAAUCAACCAACCAACCAUUUGCAUGUGAUGCAUUUUGUUUCAUGUUACACGUUCCAUUAGCUUCUUUCAUCUAUUAUUUAUUAUUAAUCCCAUUAAAUUCCAAAUUAAAUUAAUAAUUAAAUAAAUAUGCAAUUGUGUCAAUUUUUAUAAAUAUAAUUGAGAAACCAUCAUUAUAUAAAUCCACCAAAAAUAUAUAUUUGUAAAAUUCAUAGUUAUGUGAAUCACGUGGAGGGUGAAAUACAUCAAAUGUAACAUCAAAUAAACCAUCGUUAUUAUAUAUUGUUGGAGUAUUUUGAAAAAACAAAUUUUUUAAUUAUGAAAUAUCAUAUACAUAAAAGUCUUUGACCAUUUUUAUAACGUCAUUUAGACUACUAUUUUGAAAUAGAAUUCUAAUCGUGAUUAUAUUUUAUACUAUAAAAUGGGACUUUGUGAUUUUGUAAGAUGUAUGAAAGAAGAGAAAAAGAAUAUAUUUUUAUAUACGUAUAUUUUGAGCUCUUGUUGUUGUGUAUUGUGCGUAAGUUUUUGCUUUACUUGAACAUGCAGUUUCAGUGAAACUUAUACAAUAUAGAGAUAGGUUGGGUUGUUGUAUUCUAUAGGCAAAACGAUUGGAAUCUUUCCUCACCUCAUUUGAAAAGAGGGGCGUGAAAUUCGUCUUAAGAGAAACGAUCUAGUUCCCGCAUCACCUUGCCUAUUUUGAUAAAAUCGAAUUUUUACAGCAACUGAUUGUCAACGAUAAAAUAGAGAGCAAAUGAAGUCCGAGCCUCAACUCCAUAAUUCUGUAAUUUAUCGUCAAAGUGGAGCUGAAGUUCCAACAUAUCAUACACGAUUCUUGACUUUUAACUUUUCCCUUUUUGUUUUCUUCUAUAACUUCCGUAUUAGAAUUAGAUUGAGAUUGAUAAAUCCAUCUCAUCUUCUUUAUCCUACAAUUAAAUUUACUAGCAUCCCCCGAUGCACGGUAUAUUAUUUAAAUAGUGAAAAAAAAUAGUCAAUUUAAUACAUAAUAAGAAAAUAUAGUACACUAAUAUUGUAAAAUUUAAUAAUGUAGCACUAUUCAUAUUUUAUAUAACAUUAGUUUUUUUAAAUCUUACAUUUUAAGAUUUAUAAUCCAAAUAAAUAGACUAAGAUUUAACAAAUCGAAUUUCUAGUUUUAUCUCUUAAGAUUUGAGAUAUGUUGAUGAAAAAUAGGAGAUUAAUAAUUGUUGAAAAUUAUAGUUAAAAAAUUAGUAGAGAAAAAAUAUUAAAAAUAAAUAAUUACAUAAAUACCAUUAGGGUUUUUUAGGGUUGUCCAGCGUUUCUUUCUUUUAUAUAUAAGAUAUAUAUAUAUUUUUUUUUGAUAAAAUUAUAAUCGAUGGAGGCAUGUUGGAUUUAAUUUUCUAGAAAAUUAUAAAUUCAAUCAUUAAAUAAUAGUGCCUUAAAAUCUAAAAUUCGUUGCCGGUCGUCGUCGUCAUCAUCGCCAAUUGUCGUCGAUCUCCACCACCGGAGUCUGCAAUUGCAAUUGGGGUUUCCGAUUUCGGAAUUUUAGGGAGAUUUAAGGAGGAGAAUUUUGUGGUAGUGAUGGGCCUUGGCCUAACAUUAAUAAUAAAUAAUCUUGAAUUAUACUUUGAAUAAAUAUUCAUACAGCCCAAAUUUUAAAUAAUUUUAGUCCACUUGGGUCAAUUUUGAACUAAUUAAUUUAAUUAAGUGUCUAACUCCAUAUUGUCUUAUUUACGUGUCUAAAUAAUCAUAAUCUCAAGAGUGAAAGCCUGUAAAUAUGUGAUUGUGGUAUUUUCAAUAAAUAUUAAAUAAUAUAUUUAAAUCGAAGUCAGUUUACUAUUAUAAUUUAUCGCGCUAAUUAUUAUUAUUAUUAUUAUUAUUAUUAUUAUUAUGGUCUAGGGUUCGAGUCCCCCCUCCCCUACUUCCCCUUGUAAUGGACUUGAAUUUACUCAAAAAAAAAAAAAAAUGUCACACUCACAUCCAUAUUAUGUGGAUGUAAAGAUUAUUAUUGUUUAAUAUAUAUAUAUAUAUAUUUUAUUUAAAAAAUAAUUCAUGAAUUAUCAUUUCAAACCAUUAAUCACGUCGGUCAUAUUUUGACAAAAUAGAAAUUAUAUAUAGGUCCACAAAUCGACGUACGAACAACUCCAAUUCAACACGAGAAAAAGCCUUAACAAAAAAAGUGACAUUCUGUUUAAUAUGGAUAUAUAGAUACAUUUAUGUAUAGUCAAAUUCGAUAUUGUGUCACUUACUUCGGAUAUAAUUUUUUUACGAGAAUGUAAGGCUUAUUCAAAAUAUAAUUUUCUAGUAAUAAAAAUUAAUGUCUAUCUAAUUAAAUAACUUGAAUUUUAUUGGAACAAGCAAAGCAAAUAAUUCUAACUAAAUUAUAUUAUAGGGGCCUUAAGAUAUAGGUCCCCCGUGACAAAAUUAAUUAGAACUAAAUGACAAGUCCAAUUAAAUCUUUGCUUCACAUCAUUUAUUAAAUUCAUUCCAAAAAUGCCCCUCCACUUACAAAUUUAAAAUUUGCAUUAAAUAAAAUUCAAACUGUAUUUAUCAUUUUUUAUUAUGCAUUCCAUCUAACAUAUUCUUUUUCGUUUUUCACUCUAGCAUUUUUACAUUAUUAUAAGCAACUUAGGUUUUUUUCCUUAUUUUUAACAUUUUAUUAAAAAUUACGAAAAAGAAUAUUUUUCGUUUUUGUUAAAUAGUACUGCAGAUUUUAAAAGUAGUGUACUAUCGUAUACUAUGGCGUACUAUAGUAUACUAAUAUUGAAAAUUAUGAAUGUUUUUUAAACAAAAUCGGCCGUAGUCAUCGAUAGACACCUGUAGUAACCAUAGUAAUCCGUAGUCACGUACUCUUAAAACCCUAGCUCCCAUUUUGAACCCUAACCGCUACCCAUUCGUAGACACUCAUAGUAAUCCAUAGACAUUAGUAGUCAUACGCACUCAUCCAAUAUGAAACCCUAGAUCCGCCACAACCUCCACCUAUGAAAAUGGAUCUCCGAAAUCUGCCCAUAAUCAUCGAACAUUUUGUCUCUUCUUCUAUGUCUCACUUUUCAUUAUAAUUAGCCUUCCUCUCCUCCAAACACAAUAUCAAAUUACGACUACGUUGGAGUAUUAAAGAAUACACUAAAAAAUCUAAUUCUGACCUACACAAACUGACUAAUGUGGAGAAAAACAAUCUUGAAAUCAAGAAAUGAUUAAGCUACAUUUAAAAGUCCCAAAACAAAAAAAAAAAUAAAAAAAAUUCGUCGGCGUUGAAGAAAAUCACCACCGACGUAAGCGUCCAAAACCGCCUCCGCCUCUAACGACCACAAUCACCGCCGCUACCCGCGACUAAAAACUGCCGCCGUCCGCCGCCCCACAUCGAGAUCCGAUCUGAAUAACUUCUCCUAUAACGAGUACCUCCAAGUCAGGACCACUACUCCAGAGAGAGAGAGAGAGAGAGG
rnacentral:lncRNA from 1 species